GUGGUCGCUUGUAAUGUGAUAGAUGCCAUUGGAAAGGAAAGAAGGUUUAAUGGAUUGAAGCUUGAAUGGGGUUUUGAUCAGUUCAUCCCGCUUAAAGCUUUCAACGAUGCUUCAAAUGGAUACCUUUGUUGAAGUCAACAAAUUGUUGGUGCACCAACAAUUUGUUGAAAAAUUGAAAAAUAAUAAUAAUUAAAAAUUAUAUUUUUAAUUAUUUUAUUCUUAGCAUAGUAAUUCAUUUCUCCUAUAAAUAGCUAAGGAUUUCAUUCAUUUGAAAUUAUCCCAAAAUUUUUAAGCUUAUAAGUUUUUAAGCUUUUGAGAGAAGUGAGAGAAGUGUGUCUGGGGAAUUUAUCUUUCCUGCAGAGUGUGAGAGUACUGGGUAUAUUUGAGUUUCUGGGAAGUAAGAUUCGUUACUCAAAUAUUGUAUUCUAUUAAUUGUUAAAUAAACAAUUAUUCUUUCUUGCCUCCGUGGAUGUAGGUUUAAUUACCGAACCACGUAAAUUCUUGUGUCCUUUAUUUUUUCAGUAAUUUUUUUGUGUGCUUGAUUCCGCAUUCCACGCACAACAAGUGGUAUCAGAGCCGACGGUUCGUACUUGGGGGGAUACGGUACUGUUCACGUAUACGGUACUAUUCCUGUAUACGGUACUGUUCACAUACGGUCCUGUUCACGAAUACGGUGGAGACGGCCAUUUGUACUUGGGAGACAGUCUAUUGUAAGUAGUGUGUAUUUUUACAUGUCUAGGAAAGUUCUGUCAAAAAAGGCGAUAAGAGUCUAAGGAUUUUGGUUUUUAAUUGGGACCGAGUUCCCGUCCAGUUUCCUGGGAACUUUCCUGGUGCAUUUAUUUACGCGAAAUUAACAUCAUAGAGGCUGUUUUUCAAGUGGAAAUAGUUCGUUGAGAAAAAUGGUAGAAGGUGAAACUUCUAGAAUUGGGGAGAGAUCUACCGAGACUAUUUUAGGAGACACUUCAGGUGGGAGGCGAGAUUUGUCAAAUCGCUAUUCAGCACCUAUUAUAGGAGGCCAGAAGAUCGAUGUUGAAAAGUUUGAUGGGAAAAUCAACUUCGGCAUGUGGAGGCGCGAAGUUAUGGAUGCCCUUAUUCAAAUCGAUCUCGAUGUUGUUCUGAAAAAUAAAAGACACUUGUAUGAUGAAGAAAUUUGGGAUCGUAUGAACGAGAAAGCCUGUGGUCAGAUCAGAUCUUGUUUGACCAAGGAGGUGAAAUACUUGGUGAAAGAUGAGGAGUGUGCAGUGACUUUGUGGCGUACAUUGGAAGAGAAGUACCUGGUGAAAAGUCCUGAAAAUCGUCUUCAUGCAAUGAGCCAAGUAUAUGGCUUUCGAAUGAAGUCUGGGGUGUCAAUGCACGAUCAUGUUUCAAGAUUUGAAAAGUUACUUGCUGAUUUGAAGAAUCUUGAUGAAGAUAUUAAAGAUGAAGUCAAGGCUAUGAUUCUGUUACACUCACUACCAGAGGAAUAUAGCCAUUUUGUGACUACUUUGAUAUAUGGGAAGAGUGUGAUCGUCUUUAAAGAUGUUUGCACAGCAUUGACUAGCUUGGAGAUUCGGAAUAAUGAUAAAAAUUCUGAACGAGCAUCGUCUGAAGAUUUGGUGAGCAAAGAUUGGGCGAAGGAGAAACAGAAGAAGCGUGGUGGAAAGAAUUCUCGAUCCAAAUCGAGAAGCAGAAAUAUAGCUCGAGAUGAGUGUGCCUUUUGUCAUGAAAAGGGCCAUUGGAGGAAAGAUUGUCCAAAGGCUCAAAAGAGAGAUGGGAAGAAACCAGCAGCAGCAAACAUGGCACGGAAAGAUGAGGGCUCUGAUUAUUCACUAAGUAUUACUCCUGCAGCAUACGUGGCUAGUUCGAGCGAGUGGAUACUUGAUACUGGAUCAACCUAUCAUUUGUGUCCUAUUAAGGAAUGGUUUACGGAUUUUCGUAAUCUGGAAUCCGGUGCAGUUGUGAUGGGGAAUGAUCAACCUUGUCGCACAAUGGGGAUAGGAACAAUUCGGCUCAAAAUGUUUGAUGGAAUGGUCAGAGAACUCAAAGAGGUUAGAUUUGUUCCAGCUUUAAAGAAAAAUCUAAUUUAUGUGGGUGCUUUGGAAGCUAAAGGCUAUAAGGUUACCAUUGAAGAUGGUAUAAUGAAGUUUACACAUGGGGUUAUGGUGAUUCUGCAAGGGGUUCGGCGUCACAAUCUGUACUAUUUGAAGGGAGGUACAACUGAUGAAGCAAAUGUUGUUGAGGCGCACAGUGACACCACCAAGCUAUGGCAUGUACGACUGGGACAUGCUGGAGAGAAGUCUUUGCAAACUCUGAUGAGGCAUGGACUCUUAAAAGGUACCAAAACCUGUAAAUUAAAUUUCUGUGAGCAUUGUGUAGUAGGCAAGAAAACAAGGGUCAAGUUUGGUACAGCUAAUCACAAUACUCGUGAGAUCCUUGAAUAUGUUCAUAGUGAUGUAUGGGGACCAACCAAAACUGCAUCAAUUGGUGGAAGCCAUUAUUUUGUUACAUUUGUUGAUGAUUUCUCUAGACGUGUGUGGGUGUACACCAUGCGAGCAAAGGAUGAGGUUCUAGAGAUUUUCGUGAAAUGGAAGAAAUUGGUGGAGACUCAAACUGGCAGAAAGAUCAAAGUAUUACGAUCUGAUAAUGGGGGUGAAUAUACUUCUGAUCCAUUCUUGUAAGUAUGCCAGAACGAGGGUAUUAAAAGACAUUUCACGGUGAGACAUACUCCGCAACAGAACGGUGUGGCUGAGCGUAUGAAUCGUACUUUACUGGAGAAGGUACGAUAUAUGUUAUCUAAUGCUGGUUUAGAUAAAAAGUUUUGGGCUGAAGCUGUGAGCUACGCAAGUCACUUGGUAAACCGGUUGCCUUCUGCUGCAAUUGGAGGUAAAACUCCUAUGGAAAUGUGGUCUGGAAAGUAUGCACAAGACUAUGAUUCCCUUCGUGUAUUCGGGUGUCCAGCUUAUUAUCAUGUCAAAGAUGGUAAACUGGAUCCUCGUGCUAGAAAAGCUAUCUUUGUGGGAUUCAAAGGUGGAGUAAAGGGCUUCAAGCUUUGGGAUCUCGAAGACAAAAAGUUUGUGUGUAGUAGAGAUGUUACAUUUGAUGAAGCUUCAAUGAUGAAAGCUUCAAGUUCUCAGCAGGUGGAGAACAAGACCAAAGAGGUAUUGCAGCGGGUGGAGUUUGAUGCAACUCCAUAUGUACCAGUUAGUUCUACAUCAAAGAAUGGUUCAACUAUGGAGGUGACACCUAGAGUUGAAGAAGAGGUUGUUUCUUCUGAUGUCCCACAAAAUGAAGAAACAAUUGAUGAUGUAGAAAAUGAUGAUUUUAUAGCAACAAGGAGGCCAAGAAGAGAGAUAAAGAAACCCGGAUGGCUUACUAAAGAUAUGGUGGUAGCCUAUGCACUUCCAGUUAUUGAUGAUGACAUCCCCAACACUUUCGGUGAAGCAUUACGCAGCAGUGAAAGUGAUCAGUGGAAGUUAGCCAUGGAAGAAGAGAUGAAAUCUCUCCAUCAAAGCCAGACUUGGGAACUUGUAAAGUUACCAAAGGGGAAAAGGGUUAUUGGCAAUAAAUGGGUCUACACCAAAAAGCAAGGAUCUCCGAAUCAAACAACUCCUCGAUACAAGGCAAGGCUCGUGGCAAAAGGUUUUGCUCAAAAGGAAGGUAUUGACUACAAUGAAGUUUUCUCUCCAGUUGUAAAACAUACUUCCAUUCGUAUCCUACUUGUCUUAGUUGCAGAAUAUGAGUUAGAGUUGGCUCAAUUGGAUGUUAAGAUGGCGUUCUUACAUGGAGAUUUGGAGGAGGAAAUCUAUAUGAUUCAGCCUUGUGGUUUCAGAGUUGCUGGAAAGGAGAAUCAUGUGUGUAGGUUGAUUAAAUCUUUGUACGGACUGAAGCAAUCGCCAAGGCAAUGGUACAAAAGAUUUGAUCAAUUUAUACAAGGGCAGAAAUUCACUAGAAGUGAACACGAUCAUUGUGUUUACUUUAGAAGACUACUAGAUGGAGCUUUCAUCUAUUUGUUACUCUAUGUCAACGAUAUGCUUAUAGCUUCGAAGAAUGGAGAUGAGAUCAAAAGAUUAAAGAAACAGUUGGCUUCUGAGUUCGAGAUGAAAGACUUGGGUGAUGCACAGAGAAUACUUGGGAUGGAGAUUCGUAGAGACAAGAAGAAUGGGAGCGUAUGGUUGACUCAAAAGUCUUAUUUGAAGAAAGUACUAGAAAGAUUCGGUAUGGAUGACAAAACUAAACCGGUAUGUACACCUCUAGCUCCUUAUUUCAAAUUAAGCUCUUCUUCAUAUCCUAGAUCUCAAGAGGAGCGCGAUUACAUGGCUCGUGUUCCAUAUGCUAGUGCUGUGGGUAGUCUUAUGUAUGCUAUGGUAUGCACAAGGCCCGAUAUAUCUCAAGCUGUGAGCAUGGUUAGUAGAUACAUGCACAAUCCGGGUAAAAAUCAAUGGCUUGCGGUAAAGUGGAUUCUCCGAUAUCUGUAUGGGACAGUUGAUGUUGGGUUAUUGUUCAAGAAGGAUUGUGGUCAACAAUGUGUUGGGUAUUGUGAUUCUGAUUUCGCUGGAGACCUUGACAAGCGAAGAUCAACAACGGGCUACGUAUUCACAUUGGGUGGAGGUCCGGUUAGCUGGAGAUCGAUUCUACAAUCGACAAUUGCUUUGUCCACUACGGAAGCAGAGUAUAUGGCAGCAACUGAAGCUGUAAAAGAAGCUAUCUGGUUGAAAGGCUUGUUAGGUGAUUUGGGAGUAAUCCAGGAGAACAUUGCGGUCUUUUGUGAUAAUCAAAGUGCGAUAUUCCUUGCGAAGAAUCAAACAUAUCACGCUCGGACGAAGCACAUAGAUGUGAAAUAUCAUUAUGUGAGAGAGAUUAUCGAGAGCGGUGUUGUGUUGUUGAGAAAGAUCGAUACCAAAGAUAAUCCAUCAGAUAUGUUGACGAAGGUAGUUUCUGGAGUUAAGUUUCAACAUUGCUUGAAAUUAAUUCAAAUCCUUCGAUUGUGUUAAGAUAUGUCCUUCCGGAAUUUUGAACUACGGUUGGCUUGAUCCCAAAUUUUGGGUACGUAAGCAGUCAAAAAGAUGCAGUCACUUUGGGGAUGAUGACUCGUUGGUAGUCGGCUCAGAUUUGAAAAAUUUUUGCCGAGGUGGAGAUUUGUUGAAGUCAACAAAUUGUUGGUGCAAAUUUGUUGAAGUCAACAAAUUGUUGGUGCACCAACAAUUUGUUGAAAAAUUGAAAAAUAAUAAUAAUUAAAAAUUAUAUUUUUAAUUAUUUUAUUCUUAGCAUAGUAAUUCAUUUCUCCUAUAAAUAGCUAAGGAUUUCAUUCAUUUGAAAUUAUCCCAAAAUUGUUAAGCUUAUAAGUUUUUAAGCUUUUGAGAGAAGUGAGAGAAGUGUGUCUGGGGAAUUUAUCUUUCCUGCAGAGUGUGAGAGUACUGGGUAUAUUUGGGUUUCUGGGAAGUGAGAUUCGUUACUCAAAUAUUGUAUUCUAUUAAUUGUUAAAUAAACAAUUAUUCUUUCUUGCCUCCGUGGAUGUAGGUUUAAUUACCGAACCACGUAAAUUCUCGUGUCCUUUAUUUUUUCAGUAAUUUUUUGGUGCGCUUGAUUCCGCAUUCCGCGCACAACAACCUUGUCGAGGAUACCUGUGUUUUUGGAGCUGAAGUCUUUGUUAAAGAAAGAAACAUAGUCAAAGGAGAGUGCCUAUCCAUGGAAAAAUAUGCAUAUAGUUCUAAGUAUGUUUGGAAGGUUGAAAACUUUUCAAAGUUGGACAAAGGACGUCAGGAAUCACAAGUGUUCUGUGCUGGAAAUCAGAAAUGGUAUCAAAGAUUCAAUUUUUUUUUUAUUUAAAUCAGAUUAUAGAUGUAAAUACGUUCUUGAAUCUUGAGGCAAGGUUUUCGGUGAAUGUACAAUUGAAUUCCAUAUCAUUCUGUUCAGGAAGAUAGAGCUCCACCCCAUGGGAACCGGCGUUGGUGCUGGCGAUCAUCUUUCUCUGUUCUUGGCUUUGGGAGAUUCCACAGUUGAGUCUGUGAAAGUAUAUGCAGAGUUCACAUUGCGAAUCUUGGAUCAAGUGGGGGCAAAACAUCGAUCUUUUCAAGGUAAAAUGUCUGUCUUUACAUGUAAUUAGUAAGUCAUCUUAAUUAAUUGAAGGCAAAUCCAAAUAAUAUUACGAGAAUGCUCGUUUUACUCUAGCAGCUAAAUACUGGUUCCGUAGACCAAGCGAUGGCUGGGGCUGGCCAAGGUUCGUUUCAUUGAGUAAGUUAAAUGAGCCAGGGACUGGGUUUCUAGUGAAUGACGCUUGCGUGGUGGAAGCUGAGGUCACUGUACUUGGAAUUUUCAAGCCAUUAUAACAAUUAAUUAAUUGGUUUUUUUAUCGUGCGAUGCUGUCUGCCUGGCCAGUCUAGGAAAUUUAUUUCUCUUGUGGUUGCCAAAAUAUGGUUAUGUAGUUUACUGUUUCUGCUGUCCAACUAAAUUUUUAGUGUGAUUUGAGUGCUAUGCAUUUCUUAAGAGAUAAGCUUCAUUAUAUCCCUAAGCCGUAAUUCUUCUCUUCUAAGAUUUUAUUUUAUUUUAAUUUUUUUAAACGAAGUAAUUGGUACAAAGAAAAUUGGGAUGCAAGAGAACUAAUAAUUCCACGUACUAAAAGAAUGAAAACCAAGUAUAGUAGAGCUUUGUUAAAUCAAUAUUCAAUAAAUUGAUAACUUCAAUUAAAUAAUAAUUUUUAUCGGUAUUAGCUUGGAGCUUGUAUGAUAAAUUAAUAAUUUGAUAAAUUUAUUAAAAUAUAAUUUUAAAAAAAUCUUAUUUUCGUACAACACUCAGUUAAUACAUAAUUGAAUAAUUAAUUAAUUUACAGCUAAAUACAUUGAUAUGUUUAUGAUUUUCUUUAUUGUUCUGACAUAAUGUUUUUUAUCAAUCAUUAUUGUUUUUUACCACCUUUAAGAUGUGCUGUAUUAAGAGAAAUAAGACAGUGCUCAUUGCUUUCAAAGAGUCUCUUUUGAUGAGUUACCAUAUAAUCGUAAUUCAGUUAGCCAAAAGAUUAUCGAAUGACUGAUUUACUCAAUUAAGAUCAAAUCAAAAUCAUAUCACACAACAUGACAGAAUCACUAAAUUCUUUAAUAGGUUACCUAUAUACUUCAUAAAAAAUCUUAUUAUGAACGUGAUAAUAUUUUAAUAAAAGUAAAUUGAUAAUUUAUUAAUUUAUCGAUAUAUUAAUAUUCUUUAAAUUAAUAUAUUUUUCAUGGUUUUAAAUACUAUUAAUUUACGAAGGUUCUAUUUUAUAUAUCAUUACAAUAGAGUAUCAGCCACUUUGUUACCUAUCCAUUGAGUGAAGCAGCUGAAGACAAUUAAACCAAUCAAUGUGAAGCCCUGCCAUUGAGGAGAGUAAAUCAAAUUCAGAUCAUCAAAGUCAGCAAAAUUAUAAAACCGCUUGUAAGACAACUGUUUUUUUUUUCCUAGGAUUCUUUAUAUUUAGAUGUUACUUGACUUUUUUUUUUUUUAAUGCAAAUUGCUGAAAUGACUUGAUUCUACAAGAAAAUUGGGAUCCUGGUUGUAGUUUGAGUUCGAAUUAAUAGAGUGAAUUUAAUUAACAAAUCCAAUCACAUGGAAUAUCAGCUAAUCAAUGAUUUGGGGUCAUCUUCAUGUAACAGACGCCAUGGGAAAUGAAAGAAGCUUGAAUUAGGUUUUGAUCAAUUCAGAAUUUAACGAUGCUUCGAAUGGAUAUCUUGAAGGACAUACGUGUGUUUUUGGAGCUGAAGUCUUUGCUAAGAAAGGAACAACUUCUAUGCACCUGGUAUUUGGCUGACUUCUCAACUGUAACUCGUGGUUUUAAAAAUACCUUCGUUUCACACUGCAAAUCCAGGAUCAAGUGCAUCCAAAGCAUAAUCAUAAAACUUUACCCUUGUUAUUAUUAACCCAAACUUUAAUAGGUAUUCAAGUUCAUCAAUAAGCGUAGUAGCUAAAUACAGAUAACUUCAGGUUUCUAUUGCUGUUCCUGCAGCCAGUACAUGGUUUAGGAACUCAAUCGAAGAUUGGGGCUGGCACUAAUUUGUUGAACUCAGUUACUUGAACAAGGCAAGAAAUGACUAGUCAUCCUGGUCCGCAUUUUCUGUUUUUAGUUUCACUAUCAACAAAAAGAAUGAAAGACUCUUUAAAUAAAAUAUAAAACAAGCCUCAAAGAUUGUACAAAUUAUAUAGCUCAAAGAGAAUUUUAAAUUGUCAAAAUUCUAACUUUAAUAUAAGAAUAAACCCCAUCUCUCUUUCAAUUUUUAUAAUUCCCAAAAUCCUCAGCUUUUCUUUGAAUAAAGAAAAAGAGUACGUCAAACUAAUCUCAUUAUCUUAAUCUCUAUUUUUUUUUAUACAGGCAUUUAUGUGUAUUUUCUUUGUAUUUUUCUUUUCAACAUAUUCAUAUAUAUAUAUAUAUAUAUAUAGGGUUAGGAACUUUCACUCUACUCCUUAUGGUAAUCUUUUUCUCAAUGUAAAUUUUCCUCAAUAUACUAAUGGUACAAAGACCAAACUACUAAAAAAUAACUUUACUCUUAAUGGUUAAAGGUAAUCAUUUCAGACUAUAGUACCUUUUAUGCUACAUUUUAUUGUGGAGGUAAGAAUCGAGGCAUGAUUACAAUGCUUCGUCUCAUUCAUUAUGGAACUAAAUUAUUCUUCGUUUACCUUUUAUGUUUGCUUAUGGAGUUUUUUUCGUAGCUGUAGCAUUUUCCUUUGUUCAAUUUCCGAGAGGCUUUGCAUUCGGAACAAUUCCUCUUUACCGUUUUGAAUCUUUGCUUUAUUGCUUUACAGAAUUAUUUUCUAAGCUUAUCACGACUAGGGAAUUAUUCCUUUAAGCUGAGAAGGGAUCAUUAUUAUUGGGGAAUUAUUCCCCUAAGAAUACAAGGAAUUAUUCCUGUAGGGGAAUUAUUUCCUUAUGAUUAUGGGGGAUAAUUUUUGCUGGGGAAUUACUCUCCCUAGGGAAUUAUUUCCUGAAGCUUAUAGCAUAUUAUUCAUGCCGAGGAAUUAUUUCCCUAUAUGUAUAGGGAAUAGCUUUUGCUAGGGACUUAUCUCCCUAUGCUUAUAGGGAGUCAUUUUUUUUUGUGAAUUAUUCUUGCUAUGGAAUUGUUUCCUUAUGCUUAUUGGGAAUUAUUCUUGUUGGGGAAUUAUUUCCCUAUGCUUAUGGGGAAUAAUUUUUGUUGGGGAAUUAUUCUUAUUAGGGAAUUAUUUCCUUAACCUUAUAGGGAAUUAUUCUUAUUAGGGAAUUAUUCUCUAAAGCUUAGAGUUAAUUAUUCUUACUGGCGAAUUAUUUCCUUAACCUUAUAGGAAAUUAUCAUUGUUGGGAAUUAUUCCUUUAAGCUUAUAGGGAAUUAUCAUUUUGAUAAAAUGGUGUUGCAUUUGAAUGUAUCAAGGAUUUUCUGAAUAAUGUAAGCAUUCAUCAUUGAUAUAUCAAACGGCAAGCUUGGAAUAACGUUGAUAUAUACAUUGGCAUAGAUUUCGACUUCGGACUUUUGACUACCAUAUCAUCAAUGUAAGCUUCCACAAUAUUCCUCAACAAUCCAUUGAAGAUUUUAGUCACAAGCCUUUGAUAGCUGGAACUAGCGUUUUUCAACCUGAAAAGGCAUGAGUUUGUAGCAAAAUAGAGCUCUUGGAGUGAUAAAGCUUAUUUUUUCCACAUGCUUUGGAUGCAUCGGGAUUUGUUGUUUCCGCUGUAUGCAUCCAAAAGGGAAAGCCUUUAGUAGGUAGUGGUAGCAUCCACUAAUUGGUCAAUUUUUGGCAAGGGAAAGGAUCCUCCGGACAGGCUUUGUUAAGGUUUGUGUAAUCUAUGCAUACUGGCCAUUUUUUUUCACACCACAACAACAUUAGAGUUCAAUUCAGGGUAUUGAACAUCCUAAAUGAAUCAAACCUUGAAGAGGCGUUCCAUUCCAUUUCUGAGCAAAUCUCCCAUGUUUUUGUUGCACUAGUUUUACCAUUGGGUCAAUUGUUAAUUGGUGGUAUGCAACUUCUGGAUAUAUUCAUAGCAUGUUUGUGUGACCAUGCAAAAGCAUCGUACUUCCUCUUGAGUAGGAAAAUCAUAAGUCUUUUCCACUUGAGCCAAUUUGCACCCUUUUUCUGAGGCUAAAGGAUCAAGGGAUAUUGUUUCUAGUUCUUCAAUGACAAGCUCCUUGUAGUGCAAGCAUCGAGACAUUCAAUUUGGCAUUGGAUCUUACAGUUGUUAUUUAGCCCCAUCCUCCACCAAUUGUUGUGGUGAAGGAAAGGUUCCUCAAUAAGUCUAUGUUCUAAAGAUGAGAACUAUCUCAUUUCCUCUAUUGUCAGCUUUUUCUUGUUCUCCAGAACGAGUUCUGAUCUAAAUGUUCCUUUGCAAGGUUUGAUGAUGACAAUUGCCAUCAUUUGAUCUUCUUCUAUAUUAAAUGUCCCCCUCCCUAUUUGAGAAACACCACAGACACUUAGUACAGUGUUGCGAAAACCGACUCUAUAUAGUAAAGCCAACGUCUCUUUAAUAUUGCAAGGUAGGCCUAUUGGGCAUUAAUGACCAUAAAAUCAACUGAAAUAGUCUUGUCUCUAACUUUUAGUGGGAGGUUGAUUAUUCUUUUUGCCGUUAGCCUUAUUCCCUCAAAGGCUAUAAAAGGGGAAUAUCAUUUUUGUAAAUAGUCUCAUUUUUUGAAAUCAUCCCAAUAAGGAAUCUUUGCCGCUACUUUCCUCAUUAAUAAGAAUAAUUUUAACCACAAAAUUGGUGAUUUUCAGACUUACCACCAAGUGGUCUAUAUGAGGCAUGUCAAUUCUUUCAAAGUCUUUUUGAGAGAAAGUAAGUUAGGCAGGCUCCUUUGAAAUGGACAUAAUAGCAACUAUGAAAGUUUUAAUGAUUUCGUAUCACUAUAUCUUUUGUGCCUGAUAACCAUGACAUUUUUAAACUUAAACCAAUAGUAUUUAGAGAGUAAAUGAUGCAUUUUUAUUACAUUCUUAGUUACAUUUUGUAUGAGCCUGUAUUUAAAUUUUAUUUUGAUAAAUUGGUUGUAUUUUAGAUUACUUUGUGCUCUAAUUAUGUGUGAUUGUGGGGGACAAAAAAGCUUAAGCUUUAUGGAUGGAAAGCUGCAGCAGCAGAGUUGCAGAGAUGACAAAAAAACUUGGCUGCAGAGGAAAUAAAACAAGUCUCAAACAGAGAAGAUGUUGUAGUCAUUACCGGGGAUUGGUUGUUUAUUGUGAUUUAUGAAAUCAGUUUUAGUUGGUGACAAUUUUUAUUUUUCUUUUAAUUUGUCUACUUUGUUGACAGAAGUGCUCUAGCAACCCUUGCAUGUGCAAAUAUAAACUUGUUGAAUUCCAGUUUGAUCUAGAAAUUGAAAGAACUGCAAGGAGAUUGAGAAAAAAAAUAGAGAAAUUUAAAAGUUGUUGUAGACAUGGAUGAUUUGCAAGAUAUAGGGAAUUUCAACCCUCGAGGAGAAAUUGAAUCAGUUAAUGCACAAGGAGGUAAAGAAGGUCAUAAUGGGUCUAUUAUUCAUGGCAACUAGGGAACAACAAUAUUAUCUACAUGGCAGAUGAUAGAGAGAGAGUCAUAAGAGAUUAUGUUGUGCUAACUCCUCAAGCCAUAAAUCCUGAAAUAGUUAGACCUGAAGUGCAAGCUGCUAACUUUGAGCUCAAACCAAUGAUGUUUCAGAUGCUUCAAACAGUAAGGGUAAGGUAAUUUAAUGGUCUACCAUAAGAAGAUCCUUAACGUCACCUUAAGCUAUUUUUGGAAGUAAAUGAUACUUUUAAGAUUGCUAGAGCAUUACAGAAAGCAUUGAGACUCAAACUUUUCCCAUUUUCUCUAAGGGAUCAAGUAAAAACAUAGUUGAACUCUUUGCCACCUAACUUCAUUAUAUAUGGAAUGAUUUGGUUUACAAAUUUUUAAUGAAGCACUUUACACCAACCAAGAAUACAAAUUGAGGAAUAAAAUCACAUUUUUCUAUCAACUCAAAGAUGAAAGCUUGUAUGAUGCAUGAGAAAUAUUUAAAGAGUUACUUAGGAGAUGUCCUCAUUAUGGUAUUCCUUACUAUAUAUAGUUGGAGACAUUUUACAAUGGUCUCAACCCAAGCACUAGAUUGAUAUUGGAUACUUCAGCAAAUGGGGCCUUGUUAUCCAAGUUCUAUAAUGAGGCCUAUGAGAUUUUGCAAAAGGAUAGCUAAUAACAACAGAAGUCCACAAUAUAAACGUCUUUACAGCAUUAUCAGCCCAAGUAACCUCAUUAACAAAUAUAGUAAAGGCUAUGACUACUGCUCUAGCAACUGUUAGCUAAAUUGCUGAUGUAUCUUGUGUUUAUUGUAGAGAAGGGCAUCUAUUUGAUAAUUGUCCUUAAAAUCCAACCUCAGUCACUUAUGUGGGCAACUUUAACAGAACAAUCCUUGCUUAAACAUUUAUAACCCUGGAUGGAGACAACAUUAAAAUUUUUCAUAGAGCAAUCAUAAUCAACAUGUUGUAGUAUCCAGUGGACAGAACAAGCCUGCUCAACCAUUUAGAUUUCACCAGUAAAAUCAAAGGCAAAGAAACACAAGCAAUGAUCAACUAAGUUCUUUUAUAGCUUUGACUAAGGUAUAUAUUGUGAAGAAUGAAGCAAUUGUUUAAUGGCAACCUGUGUAUUUAAGAAACCUAAUAAAUCAUAUUGAACGACUUGCUCCAGCACUAAACAACAGACCUCAAGGCAGUUUACCCAGCAAUAUAGAGAAUCCCAAAGAGAAAGGAAAGAAACAUUGUAAAGUGAUUAAUUUAAGGUUUGGAAAUGAUGUUAAUAUUCCAGUAUGUGCACUAAAAAGAAGAGUUGAACUUUUUUCAACCCAAGAAAAAACUUAAGUGGAAGAGGAACCAUAACAUCCCACUUUUCAACCCACUGAUGUAAACAACCAAGCUACAUGAUCUAUAGAAAAUGAUGAUCCAAUGCCUGUUAGUAAAGAUGAUGCAGCACUAACCACAUCAGUCUACAACAUGGCAAAAGAGAAGUAGUCUAUACAGUCUGCUACAACACAAUAGUUUACGCACCCACCACCCUUUCCACAAAGAUUUUAGAAGCAAAAGUAAGACAAACAAUUUAGCAAAUUCUUCAAAAUCUUGAAGCAGUUACAUAUCAACAUUUCUUUUGUGGAAGCCCUAGAAUAAAUGCUGAAUAAUAUAAAGUUCUUGAAGGACAUGUUGGCAAGAAAAAGAAAGCUUGGAGAGUUUGAAACAAUUGCUCUUACAAAAGAAUGCAGUCAUAUACUUUAUAAUAAAAUCCUUCAGAAGCUAAAGAAUCUAGAAAGUUUUACAAUUUUAUACUUUAUAUGAACUAAAUAUAAUGGUAAAGCACUUUUUGAUUUGAGAGCUAGCAUCAAUCUCAUGCCUUUAUUAGGGUUCAAGCAAUUGGGAGUUGGAGAAGUUAAACCAAUAAUAAUGACUUUACAACUUGUUGACAGAUCUUAUGCCUAUCCAAAAGGCAAGAUUAAAGAUGUAUUGGUAGAGGUGGAUAAGUUUAUUUUUCCAUAGAUUUCAUAGUAUUGGCUUUGAAGUUGAUAAAGAAAUGUCAAUCAUUUAGGUAGACCUCUCUUAGCCACAAGAAAGACUUUAAUUAAUGUGCAAAAAAAGAGAGCUGACUAUGCGGGUUAAUGAUUAGCAAGUUACAUUUAACGUGUUAGAUGCCAUGAAGAGUCAUUAUGAUGCUGAAGACUAUAAUUUUAUCAGUGUUGUAGAUAUUAUUGUAGCAGAGAGGUUAAAUAGUUACUGCAGCAAUGAAGAAAUCAAAGUUAUAACACUUGAAGAACUAGAAGAUGAAGAUCUUCAAAUAGAUGACAUAGCAUGGUUAGGAGAGAAGCAACUCAUGAGAACUGACAAGCACUUUGAAUCUAUAAAUAUCUUAAAUAGGGAAGUAAAAUUGUCUAUUCCCUCUAUUGAGUGGCUUCUUAUUUGAGAAUUAAAAAUUUUACAUUCACAUUUGAAGUAUGUUUAUCUUAGUGACAAUGAUACACUUUCUGUAAUCAUUUCAUCUUCUUUGAAUACAGAACAAAAGAAGAGUUUGGUGGAUGUAUUGGAAAAAUACAAGAACAACAUUAUUUGAACCAUGGCAGAUAUCAAAAGACUUAACCCCUCUGUAUAUAUGCACAAGAUCUUGUUGGAGGAUUAUUACAGCAACUCUGUAGAGUAACAGAAAAGAUUAAAUCCUAUCAUGAAGGAAGUUGUGAAGAAAGAGAUCAUUAAGUGACUUGAUGCUGGAAUCAUUUACCUAAUACUAGACAACUCAUGGGUAAGCACAAUACAAUAUAUUCCAAAGAAAGGUGGAGUAAUAGUUGUAGCAAAUGAAAAAAACAGAUUAUUCCUACAAGAAUAGUAACUGCAAGGGGGGUGCUGAAGGCAGGGCUAGUGAUUGGAGUGAAAUCGUAACAAGGUAGUCGUACUGGAAGGUACGGUUGGACCACCUUCUUUUUAGGGAAAGCUAAUGCUUGUUGGGUGUUUUGGUUUGACACUGGUUCACACCAAAAAAGAAGUGAGUUACGCCUGAGUUAAAGUUAAACAAAACCAUAAAGAAAGAUCACUCCCAUUACCUUUUAUAGACAAAUUUCAGACAUAAGAUCACUCUCAUUACCUUUUAUAGACAAAUUUCAGACAUACUUGCUAGAAAAAAGUGAUAUUAUUUCUUUGAUGGAUACUUAGGCUACAACUAGAUUGCUAUAGCACUAAAGGAUCAGCAGAAGACCACAUUCACUUGUCCUUAUGAAACCUUUACCUUCAGAAGGAUGCAUUUUACCUGUGCAAUGCUCCAGUAACUUUCCAGAGGUGUAUAAUGUCUAUUUUUUAAGAUAUGGUCGAGCAAACACUUGAAGUAUUCUUGGAUGGUUUUUCAUUGUUUGGGGGAUCAUAUGAUGACUUCUUGCAUAAUCUAGAAAAUGUGCUCAAGAGAUGUGAAGAGACAAAUUUAGUAUUGAAUUGGGAAAAGUAUCAUUUCAUAGUACAAGAAGGGAUAAUCCUAGGCCAUAGGGUCUCUAAAAAAGGAAUAGAGGUGGACAAAGGAAAAAUAGAGGUGAUUGAUAAACUUUCACCACAUACUUCAGUCAAAGGCAUAAGGAGUUUCUAAGGACACAUUGGGUUCUAUAGACAGAUCAUUAAGGACUUUUCCAAAAUAGCCAAACAUUUAUGCAUUUUUCUGAUGCAUGACAGACCCUUCAAUUUUAAUGAGCAUUGUUUAAAAGCAUUUAUUGAGUUGAAGAGAGCUCUUGUUAGGGCAUUAGUUGAUGUAAUAUCUAAUUGGAGUAUCUCUUUUGAGUUGAUGUGUAAUGCUGGCGACCAUUUUGUUGGAGCAGUGCUGGGGCAAAGGAAAGAUAAGAUUUUUCACUCCAUUUAUUAUACCAACAAAACUUUAACUAAUGCACAACUCAACUACACUACCACUGAAAAAGAGUUGCAAAUAGUUGUUUUUACAUUUCAUAAAAUCAGAGUCUAUUUGGCUUGCACCAAAGAGACUGUUUAUACAAAUCACUCAAAUAUAAAGUAUUUGAUUUCAAAGACAGAUGCUAAACCAAGGUUGAUUAGGUGGAUUUUGUUACUACAAGAGUUUAACCAAGAGAUUAUGGACAGAAAAGGCACUAAGAAUCAAGUAACAGAUCAUCUCUCAAGGCUGAAAGUAGAGGCAAGCACUUUAACUAAGCAUGACAUAACAAAAACUUUUCCUGAUGAGUAAUUAUUGAUAAUAUAGCAUGCAUAGAUGCUACAACAAUCUGGAUUCCUAUAGUAUGCAGAUUUUGUUAGUUAUUUGGUGAAUGUAAUACUACCACCUAGUUUCCACUACCAGUAAAAGAAGAGAUUUCUCUAUGAUGUCAGAAGCUAUCAGUGGGAUGACCCUUACUUGUACAAGUUGUGUUGAGAUCAUCUGAUUAGAAGAUGUGUUCCUAACCAAUAAAUUUUUAAUAUUUUACAGUCUUGUCAUGCUACAACAUAUGGUGGAUACUUUGGAGGACACAAAACAACAGCAAAAAUUCUUCAAACGGUUAUUAUUAGCCCUAUAUUUUCAAGGAUGCUUACGAGUUUUUUAAAUGUUGUGGCAGGUGCCAAAGAACAGGAAACAUCUCUCAAAAGCAUGACAUUCCAUUAACCAACAUCUUAAAGAUUGAACUUUUUUAUGUAUGGGGAAUAGACAUUAUGAGACCAUUUCCACCCUCCUUCGGAAACUUAUAUAUCUUAGUUGUUGUGGACUGUGUAUCCAAGUGGGUAGAAGCUGCAGUAUUGCCAACAAAAAAAAAAUGAUAAGGCAAUGGUGAAGUUUCUUUAGAAGAAUAUUUUCUCAAGGUUUGGCACUCUUAAAGCCAUAGUCAGUGAUAAAAGAACACAUUUUUACAACAUGAUGUUUGUUGUAGCAUUGGCAAAGUAUAAUAUCAAGCAUAAAGUUGCUACAGCAUUUCACCCACAAAAAAAUGGUUAGACAGAAGUGUCCAUCGGGGAGAUAAAAAAUAUUUUGGAGAAAAUGGUGAAUCCCAAUAGAAGAAUUGGUCCCUUAGAUUAAAUGACUUCUUAUGGGUUUACCGAACAACUUAUAAAACCCCACUUGGCAUGUCUUCAUACAUAAUUAUUUACUGGAAAACAUGCCAUUUGUCGUUAGAGCUAGAGUACAAAGCAUAUUGGGUAAUAAACACAACUGAACAUGGAUAUUAUUGCUACAACAGAAUAAAGGAAGUUACAUCUUUGUGAGACAGAAGAGUUAAGAUUGUUUUCCUAUGAAAAUUCAAGAAUAUACAAGGAGAGGAGCAGGCAAUGUCAUGACAAGGAAAUCCAACAGAGGGAGCUCAUUCCAAAUCAACAAAUCUUGCUUUAUCAUUCAAAACUAAAGCUCUUUCUUGAAAAAUUAAAGUCUAGAUGGUCAGGGCCUUUCAAACUUAUCAAAGUUUAUCCUGACAGGGCUACUUUAAGAUGAAAAGACAGGCCAAGAAUUCAAAAUGAAUGGACAAAGAGUAAAGUAAUACAUUGGAGUUGCUGUGAACAAUCCAAGGGAGGAUUUGCUCUUAAGGACCCAACUUGAGCAAUCAGGGAUGGUCACACUGAAAGACUUAAAAUCAAGCGUUGAUUAGAAGGCAACCUAUUAGAGGAAGUUGUUUUAAGUUUUUUUAAGCAUUAAAUUUAGUUUUAAAAUUUGUUUAAUUUUUCUUUUUGUUAUUUUAAUUGUACGUCUAAUUUCCUUAUUUUUUUAUUUCCUUAUGUUAAAUUGCGGUAAGUAUAAGUUGAUAUAAAAAAAAUGUGUGGACAAAGAGACCAAAAGGAAUUGCUGCAAUAUCAUUUACAGCAUGGUAGUUAGAAGAUGGUUCUCAAACAACAGAGGCAUUUAUCGUUGUUGUUGUACCAACAGAUUGGUUGUUAUAGCAACGAUUUUUACCACUGCACUGUCAGCUUUGGAUUUUUACUAUUAGAGGGCUAACACACUCAUGUCACAGAUCAAAAUUUAUGACAAGGAUGAUUCAACAAAACCUGAUUUACCGUGACAUAUAUCCUUUGCUUUCUUUUAAAAUUUUGUUUAGAAUUCAAAGAAUAUUUCCAAGUUUAUCCUAUUAAUUACCUUUCUCUUUCCAUUUUUCUUUUGCUAUAAAUUAGGGCUUUACUUUCACUUUGAAUAUUUGAAAUUCACUAUUGCUCUUUCUCACCCCAUCAGUAACUUUCAACUUCUUUACCAUUCUCAUGUUCUAUUCUUUUAAGCAAAACAAAACUCUGUUCAAAUUGCUAUGCCAAAAAUUAAAGCACGUGCUAGUAAAUUGAUAAACCCCAAGUGUUUCUACAGUUUUAAAGCUGAGGAAAAAUUUAAAGACAUUAUCGAGCGUCGAAAAAUUCUGGAAGAAAAGAGAUUUCAAUUUCUAAAAUAGCCAAAGGGGAUGAUAAACAACAUAUACAUUGUUGUAGCACGAAGAGGAUGGAUCAAGUUUUGUGCUCACCCCAAAGACUCCGUCAUUCCGGUCAUUAAAGAGUUCUAUUCCAACAUGUUACAACAAGACCAACACAACAUCUUUGUGUGGCAAGUGCAAGUACCUUUAAACUCUCGAGUUAUUAAUGUUUUUUAUAACUUGCCUCCUGUGAUUGAUUGUGAGUACACUAAAUUUGCUGAGAACAUGACUGUAAAUAGGUGGGGGGAGGUUCUUAAAACCUUCACUAUUCAAGGUAGUAAAUGGAUAAAUGAGGAGGGUAUAGUGGUCAAUAAGAUAGACUUAAAGCAUAUUGCUAAGGUUUGGGUGAAAUUAUUAAAAUCUAGACUAAUGUCAGUUACCUACACUACAACAGUUUCUCAAGAUAGAUUCAUACUGCUAUAUGUUAUAGUAAUGGGUUUAGUCAUAGAUGUUGGAAGGAUUAUUGAAAAAGAAAUUAGAGAGUGUACAAUAAAGAAGUAAAAAUCUAUUGCCUUGCUGUUUCCUUAACUUAUCAUAGGCAUUUGUGUGGACUCUAGGGUAAAAUUUGAGGCAAGUGAUGAAAUAGUGAAGAAUGAAGGGCUAUCACUGCUAGAACAAUUGAAUGAAUUGCUGUGAUAUCCACUGCUGCAGCAACCCUAGAGCACUCUGCUGCAACUAAAGUAGAUCAAGCCACGAGGAUUGAGCAAAUGUUGCAGGAGCUCAGUGAUAGCAUAAAUGCAUAUGUCCAAGCACAAAAGGAAGAAAAUCAAAGAUUUUGGACUUACUUAAUACAUCUUGAAGCAAAGAAGCAUCAAUUUGCCAUAUAUAUGAAGAGUAAACAUGCAAAUUUCCCUAAGUCAAGCUGCAACAAUUUAAUUUUUCAGAGAGCUGAGAAGGUUAUUCCAGUAUGAGAAAGUGAAGAAAGAGAGAAUGAAUGAGAGUCAGCAGAAGAGCAGCAAUAAGAAAAAGGGGAGGUUGUAGAUGUUGAAACAGAAAAAGAAGAAGAGAGUGAAGAGGUGGAAAAAGAAUAGGAAAAUGAAGAGGAACCACCAAUUGUGACUUCAAAUAACAAGGGUAAAAAAAAGACUUUGAUCGAUGAGGAAUCCAAGCAAGAGGAAGAAAAGAACAUUGUUGUAGCUUUAGAGGAGGCCAUAAGCAGAGUCAUAUAGGCAAAAGAAACAAAGAUGAGUUUGAGGGAAAUAAUUGCGAGCAUCACUGUUGAGCAACCAGCAGCAAUAACUCCUUUACCAACUGCCACAAAGAAAACUCCCACCAAGUCUCCUGUACCAACUCCCACCAAAACUCGCAUUGCUAUAGCACCAAAAGAAUCAGAACUUAAGAAAACAAAGACAACUGUGCCCAAAGUCACAGAAGGCGCUAAAACCCUUCAAACUAGCCUAAACAAGAGUCAGAAAAAGAAAUAGCCAGUUGCUGUACCAUUAGGUUCACCAAAGGAACGUUUGAGAAGUGGAAUCAUAGAAUAAGUGAACAUUUUCAGCAUGUCCUGCAGUAGAACUUCAAACAAUAAAGGGAGUAUCCCCUGCCUGCCCAGUUUAAUUUUGCUAUUUCAAAAAAAAUUCCUUUCUUUUAUUUAUUUUAUCUUGUUUAUUGAACAUUUAUUUUUGAUAAUGUAUGCAUGUCUAUCUUUAAAUCAUUUUGUGUGCAUGUGAGGACACCAUGCUUCUCAAGUUUGAGGAGGUUGUGCUACGGUGUAAUGUGUCUAUGAAUGAAUGUGUUUGUGUUGUGUGUGUAGCUUUGUUUAUCCAUCAUUUUUAUUUGGAUUAGAAAACCCAAUAAGGAUAAAUUGAGUGUUGAAAUGGGGAAUGAAUUACUACCAAGCAUAGACAGUUUAUAAAUGAAGGUUGAAACUCUAUCUGAACAAUUAGGUUUUGGUUGAGUUUUGUGAGUAUGUUGUACCAAAAUCAGAUAAAACAACAAGGUUUAAAAUAUCUCAAGUUGGGGGAGGGGGGCCUAAAAAUUUUUUCAAAAUUAUUACAAGUGUGCUGGUUAUAGAAUAAAAUUAUGCUCCAAUGACUUAGUUGUUGAGUAACCAGGGCUAAGUAUGUACCACAUAUGCAGACCUGAGUAAAAGGGUAGUGAGAGUUAUAAGCAUUACUUUAGCAACUAUUUUUUUUUUUUAAAAAAAAAGAGAAGAGCAAGAUAGGCCCUCUGUCUAGGAUAUUGAGUAGCAUGUCUAUUUAUGCAACCCAUGUUCAGCCUUGAGUUAAAGGUGUCUAUAGAUAAGACUAUGUUAUAGCAUCUUAGAUGUUUUUGGUGUAACAACUCUAAUAUGUACAUUAGUCAAGUAAUUGAGUGUUAUUAUUACAAAUGAUAGACAUUCACAUGAAGAAUCAAUGUUACACUGAAAGGUAUGACACUGAAAAAAAAAAAUUUUGUUGUAGCACAGUUUGAAGUCAUUUCUUAAUUUUUGUUCCCUCAUAAGAGGAAAUGUUUGUUAUUUGAUCUUUAAGUCAUAUUUGAUGCUUGUGUGAUACUGCAACAAAUCUGGAGUUGGAUCAAAGUGCCACACACACACUUUGGACAGAAAAAGACAUAAGUCUAGAACUAGAAUUGUUUAUGGCAAUUUUUCAGGUUUAAGAAUGUGAUAUAUGUCAAGAUCAAGCGCUUACCGCUAGGUUAAAAUCUUAAGUUGAUAGCCAAGGUGCAACUUUAUUUCCUUAUACCAUGGAAGUGCACAGUCCCACACUAAGCGGCGGGUGGGCAUGACGGGCUGCACACAUUUGUAAUUGUACUAAUGGGCUGGGCAGUUAUGCCCUAGGUAACCUUACUGCCACCUGUGGACAUGACGGGCUGCACACAUUUGUAAUUGUGCCAGUCGGCAUCCCACACUAAGCGGUGGGUGGACAUGAGAGGCUGCACACAUUUGUAAUUGUACCAACGAGCAAGGCAGUUAUGUCCUAGGUAACCUCACUGCCACCUCAAUGGAAUUACACGGAAGGAUGUUACACCUACAAGCGCACAAAAGAAUUGCUAGGGCCCUAUAACCCAAACAAUCCCCCUCCCACAAAAUUGCUUAUGUGGCGGCUUGAAUCCAGGAUCUUGUUCUGAUACCAAUUGUUAGGAUCAAGCACUUACCACUAGGUUAAAAGUUUAAGCUGAUAGCCAAGGUUCAACUUUAUUUCCUUAUACCAUGGAAGCGGAGAGCCCCACACUAAGUGGUAGGUGGACAUGAAGGGUUACACAUAUUUGUAAUUUUGCCAACGGACCGGGCAGUUACGCCCUAAGUAACCUUACUGCCACCUUAAUGGAAUUACAUAGAAAGAUGUUACACUUACAAGCGCACAGAGAAUUGUUGGGGCCUCAUAACCCCAACAAUCUGAGGUGCAAUAUGAUGCCUUUGAAACAUAGCACCUACAUUAUGCAUAAAACAAACCUAGAUUAAUUUAACACAUUUAAUCUGUUAUAACUAUAUAAUUUUGUAAAAGCAAAAGAAAAUAUUACAAUUAUAGUAUGAAUUGCUUUGUGAAAAUGUCGAAUGUCUCAGAAGCGGACAGUUGAGGCUCCUGAAACCACCAAACAAAAAUAACUCUUUAAAUUAAUCACCUUAAGAAACUUUACUCAACCAAUUCUUAAACUUACCCUAAAAUCACACUUUCAAACUUCAUAGUCAAUUUUUAUUUUCUCAACAGUUAACAAUUCUCUUGUUCUACCCAUUAUGCACGUGAUCAUAUUCUUGAAAGAAAUUAAAUCCCAAAAUUAGCCUCAUACUAUUUCUUCCUGUAGCAUAAGCUUUUCUGUGUGUGUAUAAAUAUAUAGACAGUCCUAUCAAUGUUAAGAGCUCAAUAUUUGAAUGUCAAUUAAUAUGUGAUUCAAUUAUUGGAGGAUAAAAUAAUAAUUUUAAAAGUUAUAAAAUUCAUUGUCCAAUAAAUCAAUGAAUUAUAAUAAUGUAUUCUCAAAAGUUAGAAGUUAAAUAUUGACAUUAUUAAUAUUAUUUGUUAAACUUUAAACCUUUUGGUCUUACAACAAGAGGCGAUCGUAAGAUUCUUAUAUGUUUCUGGUUAUAAAAUAUACCUGGAUUACGUCAGUGUCAUUUGGCAUUAGUGAGGGAAUAGCAUCGCCCAUUGCAGCAAGCAGUCGACCAUAUGUGAGGCAAGGUUCAUUUUUAACAGCUUGGAUAAAGCUAGAAGUCAUAACACCUGUGACAUCUUUGCCUGAAAAAGCCUGCAUGCAUGUAUCAUUCCAACCAACUAAAUUAAACCAUUUUUAAUUUUGAUACAUACAUAUAUACAAACAUACAUGCAUGCAUACCUAGGCUAAAGAAAGUUGAGGAACAAAAUCCUGCAUAUAUAUAUAUUUUUUAAAAAUUUACAUAUUCUCGUAUUUAAUAGAAAUCUAUCUCCACUUCGUUAAAUCUUAUUUGAGAAAGAAAAAUUCUUCAGCCUCCAUAUCUCUAAUGGGGAUUCUAACCGUGAUAGUAGUAGUCCACCAUUAGGAAUAUGAUCCAUCUCUUUUAUAGCCAAGUUUGUUAAAUAUAUAUAUCAACUAGGGAUGGCAAUGGGGUGGAGAGGUCCACCCCAUUCCCCACCCCAUUAAAAAUUUCACUUCCAUUCCCUACCUCAUCCCUCAAUAAAUUUAGUGGGCUGGGGAUGAUGAAUCCUUAUGUGGGGAAUUAUUUCCCCAUCCUCACCUCAUUAUCUAUUUACUUAUUUUAUAAUGAGUAUAGGUAAAUAAUUUCAGUAAAUUCAUAAUAAGAAACUUAAAUAAAAUCGUUACCACAUUACAAAGUAUUUAAAUUAUUUAAAAAAAUCUCCAACAAAAUGAAACAACGUCUUGAAAUAAUAUCAAAACAAAAAUGUUUAAAGAGAGCAGUACGUUGAGAGAAAAAAAUAAAAUAUAAUAAUGUUUUAGGGUUGAAAAAGAAUUAUAAUGUAGCGUUUUAUUUUAGUUACAACCUGUUUAUAUUAGGUAAAAAUAAAAAGAAAAUUUAUCAUGCAAUAUUAUUGAACAAAAAUUAAAAAAAAAACAUAUAAAAUGGGAUUGGGGUGGGGGUAGGGUAGGGAGUGUAAAACCAAACGUUAUCCCAUUAAGAAUUUAGGGAUUAUGUUCCACCCAUUUCCCACCUAAUUACCCAAAAAUUAUUUAAAAUUCACCUCAUCUGAGGUGGAGCCCCGUGAGACUCUAAACUGGUGAAAGAUUUAGCCAUCUCUAAUGUCAACAUAUAAAAGAACAAGAAAAAAUAUUGUAUGUGUCCAAAAAGUUGCUCACCGAGGUACUUGCAGAGGUUUGAUUAUCAGAGCAAGCACUAAACGAGAGGGCUAUCCCGCCGCUUGUGCCUUUAUAGCAAGCUGUUGGAAUUCUUUGAUCUUCCCAUUUGUACUCUUCACUAGUAAAAAUACCGUACAAUAAUUAGCCAAAUUUUUCAUAAUGAUUUCUUAUUAUUAAUUCAUUAUAAGGGAGAUUAACACCUUUCCAAUAACGAUUUUCAGCUUUCCUAGUCUUACAAAUUUUAAAAUAUUGCAAUACCCUCUUGUGUGAAAGCCUUCAUUGAAAUCCGAAUCAUAAAACAAUCAUCUUUUUUCAAGAAUAAAUAUGCAUCGGCGAAGAACCAGGACGACUAGCUUGGGAUAAAGACUUCGGAAAAACUUCAAUCAAAUCCUUGUAAACAAGAAAUGCUAAAAUUGGCAUUUAAAUAUUAGGGAUGGCAAUAGGGAGGGGAUGCGAUGGGAGAGAACCGACAUCUCUGUACUCACACCCGAUAUUUUACAUAUGUCCCCACCCCCUCCCCGUCCUAGUUAGAAUUGGUUGAGGGAAUCUUAAUCCCUUCCAUGAAUAAUACUAGGAGAUCUCCAAUGGUCUCUUAUCCCCAAAUAACUGAUACAUUUUUAGUUUUUUAUUUUAAUUUAAUUAUAUUAACAUAAUAAAUUUAUUAAAAAAAAAAAACUAGAGUUAAGGCGGCUGUUGUUGUCGAAACUUAGAAAUUAGGUUUUAUGAUUUUUCUUUGACUUUUAUCUUAUUAGAUAAAAGCUUAAAAUAUUUAACAAAUAUUGUUAUUUAAAAUAUUUUAGGCCAACAGAAUCUUGUCCGGCCUUUUUAAUGUCCUAAUUAAAUAGAAAUUUAAGAUUACAACUAGUCAACCAUGCCCCAAAGUUUUUUAAUAUAUAUAUAUUUUGAUAUUUGUUAUUUAUACUAAUAUUUAAUAUUUUACAAUUUAAAUUUUAUUAUUUAUUCACUAAUAAUUUUAAAAAAUAAAAAUUAAAUUAAAAAUUAAAUGGAGAAAUGUGUAGGAGAUGGGGAUUCCACCUCAUGCCCGUCCAUUCCUGGAAUGAGAAGCUCGGUAAAAAUCAUUCAUUCCCGUCCACAAAUGAGAAAUUGGAUAUAAAAUCGUCCCCAUGCUUUCUCUGAAUGGGAAAAACUCCUAGGGUCCCCGUUCCCAUGAGAAUUUCUGCCAUCCCUAUUAAAAAUGUUAUUUUGACCCAGAUGAAAAAAAAUUGAUUUAAUUUUUAAACAAUUUAAUUUUUUCUUUUCCCUUAAUAUUUCUUAAAUCUGCCCAACCAUUCUCUAUAAAUUACAAAAAUAAAAAUUUAACUUUUUUUUUUAAUUAAUCGAAUGUUUUAAAUAAACAACAAAAGCACUACUGACAACUUUGACUAGGAUUUUUGUGGUUCAUCAAUUUUCAGUUUUGCUUUAAUUUGAAGGAACUAAUCACUUAUGUAUAGUAAGGUUUAUGAGCAUACAAUUUUUUUUCCCUAUAUAUAUUAGUCUAGGCCGCUAUCAAAUUAACUGCUAGCUUGACCACUGGAAACAUUGUAUUAUAUUUUAAAACAUACCUGAAAGUAAAUAGUAAAACCAAAAACAAUCCAAAAAAUGAGUCAAUCUCCUUAUUAUAAAAAAAUUCAUAUAUAUCUAAAUAGCUAAAAAGAAUUCAUAUAUAUUUAAAUACCCGUUGAUCUUGCACACAAAUGGUAGGUCCAAUACAGUUCCACUGUAGCAGGAAUCAAUGAUGGCAUGCAGUUUUGCACCACGGGGCAGUGGCCUUACAAUGGUGGCAUUGAUUUCAUCAUCAAUUAUAGGGCCUUCGGUCUCAUGAUCAAGCGGACAGAUGGUUUCAUCAAACCCAUCAAGCUCAUCUUUGUUGUAGUCCUUUUGCCUUGAUCCAUGGCCUGAGUAAUGAAAUACCAAUGAAUCUCCUGGCUGGCAAUCUUGCGCUAGCCAUCGCAUGGCCGUUCGAAUGUUUUGCUUUGUUGGAAUCCUAUAUGGAUUUUUCUCUUCUUCUGUCAAAUUAUACGAAUAUUUUGUUCAUAUUGGCGGAUAUUAUAUAAGAAUGUAAGAGUGAUGGUAAAUGUUUUCUUAAAUCAUUAUAGUUUUGAGUCAACUACUUAGUUAAUUCCUGUAUUUUCAAAGUUAUCUAAAAGAAUUAUAUUAUAUAUUUGUUUUUGUUAAAAUAUAUUUAAUUUUCAUUUAUUUUAAACGGGUUGCAUGUCAAAUUUGUUUGAACUCAAAAUAUCCGACAUCAAUACUAUUUCAACCUUGAAAAUUUUUUAAUCAAGUUCCAGUUUUGUCAACUCCUCUGCCUUAUAAAAAAAAAUAAAUCAAAGAAAAAGGAAAAUUAAAAUUACAGCUGCAAAGAAACAACGGGAUGUUUCAAACAAUUUGAAAAAAUACAAAGGUUAACUGAAAAAUAAUUGACUCAAACUGUAGGAACGAACAGAACAUGUACCCAUAAAAGUAAUCGAAUGCCAUUUAUUGGUAACUGAAAAAUAAGAUCGAGCUUUAAACGGAAGGUAUUAGACAAAAAAAUGCAAUAAUGCUAGCUUAUUAACUUAGUAGAGAGCAAUUUAUACCUGUCAAGAUGACUAUGCAGUCACUAGGAAACCCUAACAUGCGAACCAGAAGAAACCACAUACUCUUAACAUCAUUUAUGCUACCAGUAAGCAUGUAAUUUGUAUCAUUAUAUGUUACUCCACAUAGCAAUGCUUUUUUCCUCCCAUAAACCGGAGGAGGAGCCCACGCAGGUCGCGGUUGGUCUAUGUAAUAAUUAUUACAGCCUUGUCGAGGAUACUUGCCGUUUCCUGGACCAGCUGCCACAUAAUUGCUCGGCACUGUGGUGACAACGUUAUGGUGUGGUUGGCUCACUGAGCCAUAUACUUGAGCCCAUCGCUGAGAGGAUGAUGGAAAGCUCGUUACAGAUCGGCACGCAUGGCAUCGAGCGGCCACUGCCUGUCGUGGUAGCCAUAGUUGCCGCCCACAUCCGCCACAUCUUUCAACUCUACUUGUCAUAUUGAUUUGUAUAUGCUUUAGGCUAGAGAGGGCAACAAAUGAAAAAAACUCAUAUGCCUUUUCAAGGAUGAAAAGGCAGUGAAUGGGAGAGAGCUUUGGUAAUUAUUUGAUUCUUUCGCCAUCAUGCAUUGAUUUCAUUCCUUUGGUCACUAAAGAACCAGAUUCGCAUAUAUUUUUUAGAGGCAGAAUAUAUAACGAUUCUUUAUAUCUUUCGGUUUCGACUUGUCUAAGUAAUGACUAAUGAGGUCUUUUCGUGUGAUAAAAUUUAAAAUUGCAACCUUUAUUUCUAUAAUUCCGCAGAAAAGUUUUUAGUUCAAAGAGAAAUAGAAAAUAAACUCACAAAAGUUUUCUGAGACUCCUUAAUUAGAUAGUUUCUAUUUCAUUUCUGCAUUAGUUAAUUGCAGAUUUAAUCACAAUGUUGUCUCGAAAAGAUGCCAAGCAACUAGAUUCCAUUAGGGCCACGUUUAUUCAAUUACCGAGAAAAGAGGUAAAGGAAUACAUCGUAGGUAUAAAGGCCACACCUUAUCUCUUGCUUUUUCAUGUUAAACUUUGUUGAUGAAUGGUUCAAGCAUCAGUUCGGUCCAAAAUUCUCUUUGGCUUUUCACACUAUGUAAGGAAGAGUUUUCAAUGAAAUUCUUUAUUCCUAAGGCGAAUUCUAAUUAUUACCUUGAAGUUGAAGCUUUCUAGUUAGACCGCUAGAACAGAUUUUUCUGAUAGCUUGAAGUUGGAGCUUUCUGGUUAAACCGCUAGAACAGAUUUUUCUGAUAGCUUGAAGUUGAAGCUUUCUGGUUAAACCGCUAGAACAGAUUUUUCUGAUAGCUUGAAGUUGGAGCUUUCUAGUUAGACCGCUAGAGCAAAUUUUUCUAACCAUAAGGUUCUAGUGGUGAUGGCAGCAUAGUCCUAGCGCGACAGCCUUUACCCACGCCAGCGACAGGUUUAUAAAAUUUUAAUUUUAGGUUGAAUAUAGUAAUUAUUUUAUUAAUAAUUGCUUUAAACUCUUAUCUUCAAAUAUAUGGCAAAAGAAAAUAGGGUGAAUUUCACCCGACCCUCUUAUUUGACUGAAAUACGUCAAUUUAACCUUCAAAAGUAUGAAAACUUUAACUUACCUCCAAACGCCAUUAUUUUUAACAAUUGAUUAAUUCGGGACCAAUAUGAACCCAAAAAGUUUUAAUGUUGAGGGCCGAUUUAUUUUAGAGAUAAGUACAGUCUCAAAUAUAUUUUACGUUUGGGUUCAAGAAUCCGAACUCAAAAUAUUUCUUAUUUUAAAAUUAAAAUAUAUUUUAAAUUCACACAACUGAAAAAUAUUUAAUUUAAUCAAAUAAUAUAUAUAUAUAUAUAUAUAUAUAUAUGACAGAGAUAAAACCCGAAGUCCACACUUACCUCUCUCAAAACGCCGGUUAGACGCCGCCAAAUACCAAGCUUCGCCGCCAACGUCGCUCUUCCCUCUCGCUUAAAGACCGAGCUUUGCCGCAAGCUGCUAACCUUUCUCGCCGGACUCAACACCCCUCGCCGCCUUCGCCUGCGACGAGGCCGUAAUCUGUGAAACUUGGUUGAAUAUUACUAAGUGGUGUGUUCCAUCCAUUAGCCUUAGAAAUUAUUAUAUAAGUUUGUUCAUCGAUGUUGGAUUUGUUAUUACGGAUAUGCUUGAUGGAUGAUCAUCAAUUCGCUUUGUGUUGAAAUAAUCUUGUUAUUAAUUACGGAUAUGCUUGAUGGCUACAUUGACACUUUUCUCAUGUUUAAAUUUCAAUUCAUGCCAAAUUUUCAUUAAACAAAGAUAUCUUUUUUAUUGUUAAUUUGCAAGGGGCAACUAAUCAUCGUUCCGUUUUGGUCAAAUUAUAUUAGAAAUUAUAAUAAGUCAAAUUGGUCGUACUUGAGUCGUUUUGUAAUUUCGGUUUAGUUAGGAUUUAAUUUAUUUUCUUUAUUUUUUUACGAUUAUAAUCAAGUAAAUUUUAAGCUGCCUCAUCUUAAAAAAAAUUAAGUGAUCCUAAUAAAUAAUAUUCCAUUUAUUUCCCUAGGUACGGCAACAAAGCCUUGCGCCUUGCUCGUGCCCUUAAAAAAAAAAAAAAAAAGGCAGUAUCGUCCACAGCCGCCAGCUUCAGUUUAAUGACCGGAAAAAAAGAAAAAUUAUUUUGAGAACUUGUUAACAAAGAUGGACAGUGUCUUUGUUAACAAAGAUGGUAUGCGUGUUCAAACGUUUGUCAUUCUUUUGGUUAAUAUACUUAAAAUUUUCAGUUUAUUUUAUUUCUAAUCAGUCGGUAGUAAUCAAGAUUACUUGAAUGUAUAGCCAUUGCAAGAUCCACUUCACAUGUGCCACCGGCUCAUUACAUUGUCAAAAUAAAAUCAUUUUCAGUACUUGCUGAGAAAGCAGUUGAGGAGAAAUACGAAUCAGGAGCAUUUGAAGCUGGAGGCUACAAGUGGUAUGUAUAUACGUAUAUAAAUUUCUUUUUACCUUUAUCGCUGUAAAUUAAAUAACUUAUGCCACUACCUUUUCUUUUGUUCUUUUGUUAUUAUUAUUAUAUCAUCUUGAUAUAUAAUCAAACAACUCCUUAACUUAUGGGUUGAGUGUCAUUUUGGGUAAAAUCUUUUGGGCCGAAACAUAAGAUUUGGGGUUCGAACCUAUUUUAUAAAGAUGGAAGAGAAUUGGGUUUGCCAUUAAGCUACAACAAUAAUAAGAAAAAUACUACAACUCAACCCUCAUCCCUAAUGUGAUCAGGAUUCGAGCCUAAUUCUUAAACCAUAGUCUUUGCUUGAUAGUAUCAUAUAUUAGUGUAUUUAUGUUGAUUAAUUAAUUAUUGCAGGCAACUUGUUUUAUAUCCAAAUGGAAAUGAGAGCAAAAAUGUGAAAGACCACAUUUCACUCUACUUAGCAAUGGCAGACACAAGUUCACUUACUUUCGGUUGGGAAGUCUAUGCAGUUUUUCGUCUGUUUUUACUUGAUCAGAACCAAGACAACUACCUGGUAGUUCAAGGUUAUAUUAUAUUCUACUUUUGAAAUGUUAACCUUGAUCAUAUUUUCCAAUGAUCUACGUUUGACGAUUUUGACGAUAUCAUAUCGUUGUAAAUUUUAUGUAGUGUGAUCGUCUGUAUUUUACAAAUUAAAUACAGUCUAGCUGGUACAUGUAAAGUUUUACAGAAAAUAUUGCAGCAGAAACUCGUUUUAGUCUUUUAGAUACAGAAUUGUAUAAUUGGUGGUCGCUUGUAAUGUGAUAGAUGCCAUUGGAAAGGAAAGAAGGUUUAAUGGAUUGAAGCUUGAAUGGGGUUUUGAUCAGUUCAUCCCGCUUAAAGCUUUCAACGACGCUUCAAAUGGAUACCUUGUCGAGGAUACCUGUGUUUUGGGAGCUGAAGUCUUUGUUAAAGAAAGAAACAUAGUCAAAGGAGAGUGCCUAUCCAUGGAAAAAUAUGCAUAUAGUUCUAAGUAUGUUUGGAAGGUUGAAAACUUUUCAAAGUUGGACAAAGGACGUCAGGAAUCACAAGUGUUCUGUGCUGGAAAUCAGAAAUGGUAUCAAAGAUUCAAUUUUUUUUAUUUAAAUCAGAUUAUAGAUGUAAAUACAUUCUUGAAUCUUGAGGCAAGGUUUUCGGUGAAUGUACAAUUGAAUUCCAUAUCAUUCUGUUCAGGAAGAUAGAGCUCCACCCCAUGGGAACCGGCGUUGGUGCUGGCGAUCAUCUUUCUCUGUUCUUGGCUUUGGGAGAUUCCACAGUUGAGUCUGUGAAAGUAUAUGCAGAGUUCACAUUGCGAAUCUUGGAUCAAGUGGGGGCAAAACAUCGAUCUUUUCAAGGUAAAAUGUCUGUCUUUACAUGUAAUUAGUAAGUCAUCUUAAUUAAUUGAAGGCAAAUCCAAAUAAUAUUACGAGAAUGCUCGUUUUACUCUAGCAGCUAAAUACUGGUUCCGUAGACCAAGCGAUGGCUGGGGCUGGCCAAGGUUCGUUUCAUUGAGUAAGUUAAAUGAGCCAGGGACUGGGUUUCUAGUGAAUGACGCUUGCGUGGUGGAAGCUGAGGUCACUGUACUUGGAAUUUUCAAGCCAUUAUAAGAAUUAAUUAAUUGGUUUUUUUAUCGUGCGAUGCUGUCUGCCUGGCUAGUCUAGGACAUUUAUUUCUCUUGUGGUUUGCCAAAAUAUGGUUAUGUAGUUUACUUUUUCUGCUGUCCAACUAAAUUUUUAGUGUGAUUUGAGUGCUCUAGUUCUAUGCGUUUCCUAAGAGGUAAGCUUCAUUAUAUCCCUAAGCCGUAAUUCUUCUCUCGUCUAAGAUUUUAUUUUAUUUUUAUUUUUUAAAACGAAGUAAUUGGUGCAAAGAAAAUUGGGAUGCAGGAGAACUAAUAAUUCCACGUACUAAAAGAAUGAAAACCAAGUACAGUAGAACUUUGUUAAAUCAAUAUUCAAUAAAUUGAUAACCUUACUUAAAUAAUAUUUUUUUAUCGGUAUCAGCUUGAAGCUUAUAUGAUAAAUUAAUAAUUUGAUAAAUUUAUUAGAUAAUAUAUUUUUAAAAAAAUCUUAUUUUCCUACCGGACUCAGUUAAUACAUAAUUGAAUAAUAUACUUUCACGAAAUUCUUUAAUAGGUUACCUAUAUACUUCAUAAAAAAUUCUAUUAUGAACGUGAUAAUAUUUUAAUAAAAGUAAAUUGAUAAUUUAUUAAUUUAUCGAUAUACUAAUUGUAACAUAUGUAGAAAAAUGAAUAAAAAGAGGCGGUUAAAGGUUAAAAUAAAUAAAAGAAGUUGGAAACAGGAGAGGGAAGCCACACUUGUGUGAGAGAGUGAAGGGAAGCUGCCAAAUCGACCCAACUACAGACCCAAAAACCCGACCUGAUUUUGGGUGACACCAACAGUUGGAUUUUGUUCCCCAUGACUCCCUCUUCCAUUUCCGACCAUCCAUAGCUACCGGGAGUCACUGUUUUGCCGCAGGUCAAUUGUUGGAAUUUCACGGCUGCCGAGCUAGAUUCUGACGUUGUUGUCGCGCAUUGGAGCUCACAGCCGGUACCAUUGAACUCAGCUUGGCCAAAAGUGUCUAACCCAUGCUUCCCAGCAAUUGUUGACCAAAUUUCGAUGACCGUUGACCGGCAAGGGCAUUUCGGUAAUUUCACACUAUGAGGGCAAUUUUGUAAUUUUUGAGCCCGUGGAUUUUUUAGUAAUUCCUAGAAUUGAGGAUUGGGUGUAAUUACGAUUUUGAGGAUAAUUAGGUGAUUUACGAUUUCGGAGUAUUUUAAUGAUUUACGGACUCGAGGGCAUUUUAGUAAUUUUAUCGACACGGGAGUUGUAAAUUAUAGAUAGAUGUUUGUUUUGAGUUUAUUGCAUAAAUUUAGUCAUAACUCUAAUUUACAAAAAAUAAUUAUGUCAUUUCCUUGAUUUAGGAGGAUCCGCGAGUGAGAACCGGUCUGCAGAUGUGAACGAUAACCGAGCGUGAACACUGUCACUGUGAGUAGAAUAUACAAAACUUAUUUUCAUAGUUAAUUAUGAUAGUAAUGUAUGUUUGCGAAAUAAGUGUUUUAAAUGUUCAGAUUUAAUGAUUUCUUGAAAUGGAUUUUAUUCACGCAUUGAUAUUAUAUUAAAAUGUUUGGUCAUGCUUUUCUGUGUCGACUUUGAAUGAAAUAUGAUAGUAUUUUAAAGAUAAGAAAAAUAGAUUCAAAUGCGAUAUGAUUUAAAGUAUGGUUAAAAGGUAUGUGAAUAUGAGUAUAAUGGUUGUUUUUGAAAUCAUUAGACAGCACCCAUCCCCUCUAGAUACAGUAAUACAGAUGAGAUGAGAUAGAGGUCUUUGGGGCUCGUCUGAACACACAUAGAGGCUUUGGGCCAUGUGUUUGGGCGUUUCUGCCUUUUGGGGGCAUAUGCAUGUUGUAUGAUAAUUACAGAGAUACAGAUAUGAGAUACAGACAUAUAUUGAGCUAUAGAUGAUACAGAUGAGAAACAGGCCUUUGGGGCUCGUUUGAGUACACACAGAGGUUUUGGGCCGUGUGCUUGGAUGCUUUUGUCCUUUGGGGACUAGAUUAUGCAUGUACAUAUAUGAUAAGAUGUGAAAUGAUAUUUUCCUGUCUAUUCGUGUAACUCCGGGGCGUGACGGUACCCAGAUAGUACGUCAUUGUCCAUCCGUUGAGGUCUGGAUAUGAUGAGAUUAUUCCCCUGGGUACUUGUUUGGUGAUGAUUUUUAGAUUUGUGUAUCCUAUAUGAUAUUGUGAUAUGAUUUCCAUGGUUAGUAAUCUGAUUUAAAUGUUAAACGAUUUACUAUUGGUUUCUUGCAUAUGGUUUGAUGAAAUCGUGUUUGAAAAUGAUAUGAUUAUUUCUUUUAAAGUAAGAUUUAAUUUUCAAGAACUAUUAUCCACUCAAUGAUCUCACUGAGUUUUAAACUCACCCCAUUUUUAUUAUAUCCCCCCUCCCCCAUCAGGAGGUUGCAGGUACACCAGACCGAACCCAGCGACUGUAAAUAUAAUUUGAGUCAUGACCACGUAAUGGUAUUAGAAGAUAUAGAUGUUUUUGUUAGGACAUCUUAGUUAUCUCGUCCUGUUGGGAUUGUAUAAUUUUGUUAUAUUAUUCUUUUGGGAUUAAGAAUAAACUGAGAUAUUAAUAUUAGUUAUGAUAUAACAUAUUCUUUUGAAACUCUAGAGAUAUAAAACUCAGCAUUUUGGUUGAGAAUGUUGAUCACUGGAGUUUGUUGUAUAUUGAAUUAAAUUGGGAGUGCUUGUCUUACAUAUUUGUAGAUUGAAAGUGUUAUAUAUAUAAAGGAGACUCUGCCGAAUUUUUGGCAAAAUUCUUAUUAAUUAGAUUAUUAUCAAGCCCGUUUUGAUGAGACUAGAUUGACUCGCUCAAGGGGGUUCGGGGCGGGUCGUUUCACUAAUAUUCAUUAAAUUAAUACAUUUUUCAUGGAUUUAAUACUAUUAAUUUACGAAGGUUCUAUUUUUUAUAUAUCAUUACUAAGAGUAUCAGCCAUUUUGUUAGCUAUCCAUUGAGUGAAGCAGCUGAAGACAAUUAAACCAAUCAAUGUGAAGCCCUGCCACUGAGGAGAGUAAAACAAAUUCAGAUCAUCAAAGUCAGCAAAAUUAUUAAACCGCUUGUAAGACAACUGUUUUUUUUUUUUUUUUUCCUAGGAUUCUUCAUAUUUAGAUGUUACUUGACAUUUUUUUUUUUUUUAAAGCAAAUUGCUAAAAUGACUUGAUUUUACAAGAAAAUUGGGAUCCUGGUUGUAGUUUGAGUUCGAAUUAAUAGAGUGAAUUUAAUUAACAAAUCCAAUCACAUGGAAUAUCAGCUAAUCAAUGAUUUGGGGUCAUCUUCAUGUAAUAGAUGCCAUGGGAAAUGAAAGAAGCUUGAAUUAGGUUUUGAUCAAUUCAGAAUUUAACGAUGCUUCGAAUGGAUAUCUUGAAGGACAAAAGUGUGUUUUUGGAGCUGAAGUCUUUGCUAAGAAAGGAACAAAGGCAAAGGAGAGUGCCUUUCAUGAUGAAAUUCACAUCUGCUUCCAUUUAUAAACAUGUUUGGAAGAUCCAGAACCUUUCAAAGUUGCACUCAAAGCGUUACGAAUCAGAAAUAUUCGAUUCGAACCAUAAUCGAAGUUGUACAUUUUAUAACGAUGCACAACUCUAAUAUAUAAUAGCCUAAAUCUAGACAUCUGCACCUGAACACGGCUAAUACUUAAGGUUGAUUUACACAUGUGCUGUAUAUUUCUAAUGGUAAUGCAGAAGAAAUUCGAAUAGUACAACUUGUUAAAAAGGUGCAUCAUGUUAAAACCACUUCUCUGAAUGAAUAAUGUAAAUGAUUUGCUAAAAUUUGUCUGUUUCGCUGUUCAUAUAUAUAAUCUAAAUGGCACAUUUGAAAGUUAAUGUUUUAAUAAUUUGUUAAAGUGGAACCUCUUCGUAAAUAUGUACAAUUGAAUGCCGAGACUUAAAACUUUACCCUUGUUGAUUUUUUCAGGAAGAUAUACCUCUAUCCCAAGGGACAGAGAAAAGGACCUGGCAGUCAUACUUCUAUGCACCUGGUAUUUGGCUGACUUCUCAACUGUAACUUGUGGUUUUGAAAAUACCUUCGUUUCACACUGCAAAUCCAGGAUCAAAUGCAGCCAAAGCAUAAUCAUAAAACUUUACCCUUGUUAUUAUUAACCAAAACUUUAACAGGUAUUCAAGUUCAUCAAUAAGCGUAGUAGCUAAAUACAGAUAACUUCAGGUUUCCUGCAGCCAGUACAUGGUUUAGGAACUCAAUCGAAGAUUGGGGCUGGCACUAAUUUGUUGAACUCAGUUACUUGAACAAGGCAAGCAAUGGUUUUCUUGUGAACGAUGUGUGCAAUGCUGAAGCAGAGGCGUCUGUGCUUAGAAUUUCCAAAGCCCUGUAAUAUACUCUAAUAAGCAUUGCUACUCUUGCAAGAAAAUUGGGAUGCCAAUUUUUUAAUUUUAUUUCUUAUAAUAAGAGUUAAUCUCAUCGUACCCAUAUAUUUUGACAAAGAAAUUCAAUUGUUGCCGCUCGAUAAUUGGUGGUUAAUUGGUUGUUAAGUCUCCAAAUGGAGACUACAUGGGGAUGCCUUCUCUUAUGGGUUUAGCCUGCGAUAUCUUAUUCAUUGUUGCUUUUUUUUCUUUCUAUAUUCUGCCAGUCGCAAUAGGUAAGGUACUAUAGGCUUUUUUUUUCUUACGAGUGUGAAAUAAAAUGAAUUUAAAUCAAUAAGUAUUUAUAGAACACUUAAGUGCUGCUCAACCAUAGUACUAAAUCGGGUUUAAAUUUUGGAAGCUAAUUAUAUAUUAGUUGAUAAUAGAAAAUAGACAACUAAAAUAUUGCUUCAGCUCGUCCAAAUACACGGUUUUUGAGUGGAGGGUACAUAUUUUUGUUCAUUUGUAUUGCAGUUGUUUUCUUGCCUCUUACCAUCCAUUCUUGCAACCAAGCAACGAAAUCAAUAUUCCUUGACCAAACCAAACAAAUUAAAGAAUCAAUAUCCCUUCUCCCCAUGGCAUUCCUCUUUCCAUUCCAUUCUUGCAACCAUCAGUUUCCAAAACUUGGCGAAUAUCAUAGUUAUUCUGCCUCUUUCUGAAAAUUUAAUGCUGAAUUGUAUAAACCCUCAACCUUGGUGCUUUAUAUAUACCAUGGUCCCUUUUAGAUAUUUUAAAGAACAAAUAUUACUCUUGAGAGAAUACUCUAACCCUUGAAAAAUCUUAUUAUAAUCAAUCUUUCUUUAGUACUAGUUUUAGUACCUGGAGAAUUGCAGUUGUUUGGAGGAAUUCGUUGCAAUGGAAAAUGACUUCGUAGACCAAGUUGGUAUGUUCUCUGACUCUUUCUCAGCUCCCCUUUAUCAGAUAAUCUCAAGCUCCAUGAUACUCUCCAUAAGUUACGGACAGCAAUCUCUUCCAUUAUUCUCCUUGAUACUCUCAUGUAUAGUUUCCUUUAUUUUCUCUUUAUUAGUUACAAAUGAUGUAUAUAAAUACAUGCAUUACAGUUAAUGAAAAUGUGUGAAAAACACUUCAAUAUAUAUUCUGCUUUUUGUUCUUUUAUGGUAUCAGAGCUUAAUUGCUCCUACGAGUAAACCUAUAACAUGGCUUCUAGCUCAACCUUAAUCACCUCUUCCUCUCUUGUGUCUGCUGCCCUUUUUUCUUCUGAUGGCACAUUCAAUUCUGCAGGCAACCUGAUUGUUAUAAAUACAGCCUCACAACUUCCUCUCAAGUUGAAUCAAUACAACUUUAUGGCCUGGAGAGCACAAUUAAACACUGUCCUAGUAGGAUAUGAUCUUCUUGGUUUUGUUACAGGUGCAAUAAAGUGUCCCCCUCCAAUAAUAACCGGUGAUGAUGCAAAAGCAACCAUUAAUUUAGCUUACACCAUGUGGCAGCGCCAAGAUCAAUUUAUUCCAAAUGCAAUAAUUGCAGCAGUAGAACCAGAAAUUGCUUCUCUUAUUGCUUCAGCUGCAAACUCCAUCGGUGCCCUUACUACACUCACAUCAACAUUUCAAGGCCACAACAGAACCCAUGUAGUUAAUCUCAAAGGUCGUAUGUCACGAAUGAAGCAAGACAACAGGCCUGUAGCAGAGUAUUUACAGAGUAUGAAAACGAUGGCUGAUGAGCUUGCAUUGGUUGAUACUCCGGUCUCCGAAAUUGACCUCACUGUUCUAAUUCUUAAUGGACUCAAACCUGAAUUCAAAGAAAUUGCUGUAGCUAUUCGAGCUAGAGACAUACCAAUUACUUUCCCUGACCUUCGUGACAAACUCGUUGAUGUCGAAGUAUCCUUGCAAUCCUCGCAAACGGAAGAAACACCAUACAACCCCGUCAUAUCAGCCCACGCUACACAAAGAAAUUAUAAUAAUUUCUCACACUAUUCUCAAAAUCCUCGAGCACCUCUUCAACCCUUUUUUCCAUCAAGACCACCUAGUUUAAAUCCACCUCAAACCUUCCAAAAUAACCAAAGAUACUCAGGUUCUAAUCCUUACCCAUCAAACAAUUGGAAUCAACAACCAAAUUGCAGGAAAGGUUACCAAGGCACUUGUCAAAUUUGUCACCAAAAAGGACAUAGUGCCCCAAGGAUCUUUCAAAUUGAAGGGCUUGUGGGAUCUUUCAAAUUGAAAGAGACAUUGCUUCUUUACAUCGAGGGACCAUGUCUGUGGUAGCAUAUUACUCCAAACUGAAGGGCUUGUGGGAUGAGCUCUCAUCUUACAAUGACAUGCCUAUUUGCACCUGUGGGGCAAUUAAGGGAAGUGAAGAACGAGAACAACGAGGGAAGGUAAUGCAAUUCCUUGUAGGUUUAAAUGAUACAUAUUCUGCUAUACGUGGUCAAAUUCUCCUUAUACAGCCACUUCCUACCAUUAGAAAAAUUUAUAAUUUGAUUCUCCAAGAAGGAAAACAACGUGAUGUGGCUGUGUCUAGAGAAAUCUUGUUGGCGGCAACACAAACCAGCAACAAUGAUAGCAGUUCGCAUAACAAAGGGAGAGGAAAAUUGCAUUGCAGCCACUGCAACAGAGAUAACCAUACAGUUGAGAAGUGUUUUCACUUGCAUGGCUUCCCCACUGGUCACAAAUUUCACAAGAAGAGUGAGAAAUCUGGAAAUAAAUCAGGGCCUACAGUUAACAACUCACAACUUGAAACGCCAAGUUUCACGUAAGAGCAAUACCAACAAAUCAUGGCUUUCUUGAAUAACGGUAAUGCUCAACCUAAGGCAAAUAUAGCAGGUCAGCUUUCCCCUUUUUGUCUUUCAUCCCAUAUUAGCUCCUCUCAUUCGAAUAAAUGGAUAAUAGAUAGUGGUGCAACUCACCAUAUCACAUCUACUCUUGAUUUGUUAUCUGAAGUAAGUCCAUCUCCACAAACCUCUGUUACACUACCCAACGGAAACAAGGCUCAAAUAGACUCAAUAGGCUCAACUAAUUUUGGUUCUGAUUUUUCUCUCUCAAAUGUUUUCCAUGUACCCUCAUUCUUAGUCAACUUGUUGUCUGUUAGCAAAAUGACCAAGUCCUUGAAUUGUUCAAUCACUUUUUUUGCUGACUUUUGCAUCUUGCAGGACUUGGCAACGAAGAUGACGAUUGGUCUGGGGAGACAACAUGACGAUCUUUAUUAUUUUUCUCCAAACAUUACAUCUUCGCCUAAUUUGCUCACUCCUCAAGUCAACCAGACAUCUUCGCAACCAGAUUUGUGGCACAAACGUCUCGGACACCCUUCCAUCCACCCAAUAAAAUAUCUUGUAGAUUUAGUACCUAAAAUUUCUUUCUCUGCAAAUAAAAUUUGUGAUAUUUGCCCUUUGGCUAAACAAACAAGGUUAUCUUUUGGUUUAAGUAUUAUUUCUGCUAAAACAACCUUUUGAGUUAAUUCAUUGCGAUAUUUGAGGACCUUUUCGAGUAUGUUCUCUUUCAGGUGCUUAUUAUUUUUUGACCGUUGUGGAUGAUUACUCCAGACAUACAUGGAUUUAUCCUAUGCGGUUUAAAUCAAUGAUUACUCCAGACAUACAUGGAUUUAUCCUAUGCAGUUUAAAUCAGACACACAAAAUUUUUUAAAAUCUUUCUGUGCUUUUGUUUCUACACAAUUCAAUCAUAAAGUUAAAAGGUUUCGCACAGAUAAUGGUAAAGAAUUUACUUCCAUGCAUAACUUCUUUAAGGAUGAAGGAAUCCUUUAUGAGCAUAGUUGUGUUUCCACACCUCAACAAAAUAGUGUAAUAGAACGCAAACAUUCUGAAUGUAGCCCGAGCCUUGAGAUUUUAAUCUCAUUUGCCUUUAACCUUUUGGGGUGAAAGUGUUCUUACUGCAGCUUAUCUUAUUAAUCACAUACCUACACCCUUACUUUCUAGAAAAACGCCAUUUGAAAUUCUACAUAAAAAGCCACCUACUUACGACCAUUUGCGUGUGUUUGGAUGUUUAUGUUUUGCUACUAAUGUCAAACCUCAAUAUAAGUUCGAUCAUCGUGCCCGCAAAUGCAUUUUUAUUAGGUAUCUUUCAGGUCAAAAGGCUUACAAAGUUUAUGAUCUAGAAACUAAGAAAAUUUUUUCUAGUCGAGAUAUUAUUUUUCAUGAGAAUGUAUUCCCUUUCACAGACUCCAAAUGUGAUAUCAAUCAUAAUUUACAAGUUUUGCCUUUAUCUAUACUAGACCAUAAUACUCAGUUAAUUCCCAUCGUUCCACACGAGGACAAUAAAUCCAAUGAAUCUCAACCUGUACCUUUACAUAACCAGCCCACUCAACCUACGCUAAGAAGAUCUGAUCGAAUCCGACAACCUUCCACUUGGCUCCGUGACUUUCAUUGCUCACAGGCCACUAUGUUGUCCCCCAGCUCAAUGUCAUCUUCUAUGCUUCAGCGGCAAGGUACACAUUAUCCUUUUGUCAAUUUUGUCUCUUAUAAUAAUCUUUCCUCUUCUCAUCACUCCUUUGUUGCAUCUAUCUCUAGUUCUGUUGAACCUAACACAUUUGCCCAGACUGAGCAUGAUCCCAAGUGGCGUGAGGCCAUGAAUUUAGAAAUCGAAGCUCUUGAAGCCAAUAGUACUUGGACUCUUACUACAUUACCCAAAGGGAAGAAACCAAUUGGUUGCAAGUGGGUCUAUAAAAUAAAGUAUCGUUCUGAUGGCACAAUAGAACGAUACAAAGCUCGACUGGUAACUAAGAGAUACACUCAGAUUGAAGGGAUGGAUUAUCAAGAAAUAUUUUCCCCAGUUGCCAAACUUAUUACUGUGCGACGCAUUUUGGCUAUUGUUGCUGCUAGAAAUUGGCCUCUCCAUCAAUUAAAUGUUCAAAAUGCCUUUUUUUAUUGUGACCUAGCUAAAGAGGUAUACAUGCUUCCGCCACCAGGUUAUAGUCGACAGGGGGAGAACUUGGUUUGUUGACUUAAUUUAUGAAUUGAAGCAAGCUUCACGUAACUGGUAUUCCAAGUUUUCUUGUGCCAUUUGCAAAGCCGACUUCAAGCAAUCUAUGGCUGACUACUCUCUUUUUACUAGAGUGCAUAGAGACUCAUUCACAUCAAUAUUGAUUUACGUUGAUGACAUGAUAAUAACAGGAAAUGAUCUAGCGACAAUAACAACUCUAAAAAAGUUCCUUGAUGAACAUUUUAGAAUCAAGGAUCUUGGAAAGCUAAAGUAUUUUUUGGGAAUAGAGGUGGCUCAUUCCAAGAAAGGCAUUUGCAUCUCCCAGCGCAAAUAUGUAUUAGAUAUACUUGAUGAUAUGGGACUCCUGGGAGCAGCACCAGCUUCUUUUCCUAUGGAACAAAACUUGAAGCUUACUCCAUCAAGUGUUGACCUUCUCAAAGACCCAUCAAAAUAUAGAAGACUUGUUGGCCGUCUCAUUUACCUCACAAUCACAAGGCUUGAUAUUAAUUAUUCUGUAUAUCUUUUUAGUCAGUUUAUGAAUCAACCCCACAAGCCACAUUUAGAUGCGGCAAUUUGAGUCCUUCGAUACUUGAAAGGAACACCAGGACAAGGACUAUUUUUUCCAGCAGAAAAUAAUUUGAAGUUAACAGGUUAUCGUGAUGCAGAUUGGGGAAGUUGUCCUACCAUAAGGAGAUCAGUUACUGGAUACUACGUAUUUCUUGGUCCUUCCCUCAUCUUUGGAAAACCAAAAAGCAAACAACGGUUUCACGGUCUUCAGCAGAAGCAGAAUAUAAAGCCAUGGCAGCCAUUACUUGUGAGCUCACUUGGUUGAAAUACCUCUUUAAAGAUUUGCAAGUUAAUUUCGUGAUCCCUACUAAGCUCUAUUGUGAUAACCAAGCAGCAUUACACAUCGCAGCAAAUCCAGUGUUUCACAAACGAACAAAACAUAUUGAGAUUGAUUGUCACGUGGUCAAAGAAAAGAUUCAAUCUGGGCAUGUUGCUACUGCUUUCACUUCAUCACAAACUCAAGUUGCAGAUUUAUUAACCAAGCCUCUUGGAAAAGCCAUAUUUCAUACUCAUCUUCGCAAGUUGGGCAUCAUUAACAUCCAUGCUCCAACUUGAGGGGGAGUGUUGAGAUUUGCCAAGAUUAUGGACAGUUAUUGGCAAGAUUAUGGACAGUUGUUCUGCUGCAGUAAUGGACGUAAUUUGAUAGUCAACUUUCUCUUAUAAGCAAUUUCCUUUUCUAUUAUGUACAACUAGCAAUCAAUCUCUUCUUUUUAGCCUUUUAGUUAGCUGACGCUUUUGUAUAUAAAUGGUGUAUAACAAUAAUAAUAGUGCACAUUUUCCCCCCUUUUGUUACAUAGCUUUCCAUUCCAUUCUUGCAACCAUUAGUUCCCAAAAUUUGAUAAAUAUCAACAGUCAUUUUGACUCUUUUUGAAAAUUUACUCUUGAAUUGUAUAAACCCUUAACCUUGAUAUGCUUCUAUAUACCAUGCUCCCUUUUAGAUAUUUUAAAGGAAAAAUAUUACUCUCGAGAGAACUCUAACCCUAGAAAAAUCUUAUUAUAAUCAACUUUCUUUGGUACUACUUUAGGUACUUGAAGAGUUAUAGUAAUUUGGAAGAAAUUGUUGCAAUGGAAAAACAAGUUGGUAUGUUCUUUGAAAUGGUGCUUCGGUCCAAACGUCCCUACCAAGUUUGGAUUUGAGCUAUGAUCAGACAAACGUCCAAACUUGAGGAUAAUUAUAUCUAAUUAGGGUCCAAAAAUAUACAGGUGUGAUAUAGUUGAUGCAAAAGAAAUUCUAUCAUAUGAAAAUGAUUUGUUCGUUAAUAUCUUUACUCAUAUAAUCUAAUUAAUUAAAUGCCUCAUCUGAAAAUUAACCCUUAGGCCAUGUUUGCUUAGGGGUAGAGGAGUAGGGAGAGGAAAAGAAUUUGAUUUCUUUUUCACUUUCCACUAUUUGGUUGGACCAAAUUCAAUAGAAUUGAAUUUUCAUUAAAAUUCAAUUUCCAUCAGAUUGAAGAAUUUGUAUUCCUUAUCAAUGGGUAAGGAUUUCGAAUUUCUCAUCUAUUGGAAUACAAAAAUUCCAUUAUUAUUCUCUAAUAAAAUUAAUUUUAAAUAAGUUAAAGUGCAAAUAAUUUAUAUUUAUUUUCUUAAAUUAAGAGGAUAAUUUAUUUGAAAAAAGAAAAAGCACUAAGGUGAAUCGCCAGACCGUCACUGAAGACUCGCUGGAGAUGCAUUUCACUAUCAUAACAUGUAUCAAUGGAAUCCUUGUGAGCCGAUCUACAACUCUAUGGAGUUAGAAUGCUAAUAUACAUUGUUAUUCACCUCAAAUCUUGUUUAAAUAUCAGGAAUAUUUUCACUCCCAUAUUUCCAACUAUAUAGUAUAUUUUCUACAAAAUUAACACUUCCAAAGGAUAAAUCAUCCAUUUCUAAUCAUUAUUAUAUAUUUAAUGCGAUAAAAGAUAGCGGUCAACAUCAGUAACGCCGGUCAAUGGCGACGUAAUUUUUGUUUUAAAAAAUAAAAUUCUCUAUUUAACUAUGUAAUUUCAAACAGGAAGAGAUGUAGAGGGAUUUUUUUUUCUCUUAUUAUUUUUUUUAAUUUUAAAUAUGCCAUAAAAAUACUAUGAAAUACAUUCAUCCAAUAUAACAACACAACUUAAGUACCUAAAUACCUAUUUUUUCCCUCUAUCUCUCUCUCUCAAUUUUUUGAUAUUUUUUCUUUUUUUUAAAAAAAAGUUACAGACUUUUUUAAUUUAAUUCCUUGCUCGUUAUAAUACGUAGAUAAAUUGCUUAAUUAUAGUUAGAUAGUCAUGGAAUAAUUAACAAAUUGUUGAAUCAUAAUCUGUAUAUUUUCGAUAAUAUUCGAGCAAUUAAAAAAAUUAAUUAAAUAAAACCAAACGUAGAUCGAGAAAGAAUAUGAGUAUCAUAAUUACGUAACCAUUGAGGUCGAGACUGGUUGUCACCUUGAGAAAAGGUCGCGCAACCAUAUGUAAUGGGUGUAGGUAGAGGCCGAGAGGCGUGCAUUUGGCCGUUCCAAUUUAAGGGCAUUUGAGACUUUUCAUCACAUCUUUUGUAUUCGGUGCAAAAUUUAAAGGGUGGGGCUAUUUGAACCCAUUAAUUUACUCAAUAAACCCACUUUUAAAAAUAAUUUUUUAUCAUUAAAAUACCCCUAAAUUAAAUUACAGUUAUGGACACUAGAAUAUAAUUUAAAAAAAAAAACAGAAUUUUUACUCUUUAAACCCAUCUUUAUAUUCAACAUAGUUUUAUAGAACCCUAAUUAAAUUUUCAUUAAACCCUGAUCAAUCAAGAGGUGAGAUUCUUCUCUCAACCCAUAUAUAUUGUUAAAUAGGCACAUGUGAGUUGAUUCAGAGUAACAAAAUUAAUUGUUAUUGAUUUGAUGGAUAUUGAUUUUAUGGAGGAACAAAAUAAUAUUGACAAUCAUAAACAGGUACGAUUUUUUUUUAUAUUUGAUUUUUUCCCUUUUCCAUUCGAAAUUGACAGACAAUGUUAAUAAAUUUUUCCUUUAUUUGAAUCAUGAAUAAAGUUGGCUGUUGUUUGACUUUUCAUCUCAUUGCAUAAAUUUUCCCUGUGCACUUGAAUGCUUUAAGUUUCAGAGAGGGAUUGGCUACAAUUUUUAAACUAAACAAUUUCAUAGAGGUGGGUCACCACGUUAUUCCACCAAGCACCACAUCAUUAAAAACUAGUUCGUCAUUGAUUAUCUUGCUUUCUUUUUCCAAAUUAUGGUUUUAGAAUUACGAGAAUAAUGAAUCGUGCUUUAUUCCCUUUUUGUUUAUUGAAAAAUUUCUCUUUGUUAUGCAUUGAUCUUUGCCUUUAAUUAGUUUUUGGUAGCCUCGUAAAUAGUAGCUGAUGUAUUUAUAUCUUAUUAUAUUUGAAUUUGCCAAAAUAAAUUAGGUUCCUAAUGCGUCACCAACAAUUGCCUCUGCAAGUUCUGAUAUUAAUGGAGUUGCAGUUUUGGAUGCAAGUGAGCAGCUUAAAGCAUAGAUGGAGCCAGUCACUUCUGAGAAUUAUUUUAACUCAUUUGCUGAGGUUCACUUCGUUUAAUAGUUUGUUUUUGUAACUUUAUGUUUCUUCCGAGAGUAACUAUUAUUUUCACCGAUCUAAUACUAAGAAAAUUAUAUCGUUUUAGUUUGGUCUUUAUGUGUCAUAUAAAACUAAUUUUUUAAAUGUACUUUGUAGUUUUAGCAAUUACAUUUUAUUAUAUGCAGGAUGAUGUUUCCAUCAAAUCUACGAAUUAUGAUACAGAUUGUGUGAUGGAUUAUAGCAGUGAAUUUACAACUCAUGAGGUAACUUUAGUUUAUAAUUAAUUUUGGAUUAAUUUUUUACCAAAUUUUAUUUAACUUACAUGAGAUUUCUUUCUAUCUAGAUAUUUAAGAGUAGAGAAGCAAUGAUUCAGUGGACUCGUAAUGUCGGAAAGAAAAAUGGUAUAAUGGUUGUUAUCAAGAGAUCUGAAGUGGGUCGUGGUGGUAAAAGAGCAAGGAUCUUUUUUGGUUGUGAGAGAGGUGGAAAAUAUGAAAAAAUAAAGAAGAAAGACAACCAAAAAGAUUUGAAAUCGAGAAUAACUGGUACAAAAAAAUGCGGAUGUCCUUUUAAACUAAAGGGCCAAAAGUUAGACACUCAUAGUGACUGGAUGUUAAAGGUAAUGUGCGGAGUUCAUAAUCAUCCAAUUGCAAAACAUCUUGAAGGGCACUCAUUUGCAGGGCGAUUAACUGCUGAAGAAACAUCAAUAUUAGUUGACAUGUCAAAAAAUAUGGUACGACCAAAAGAUAUUUUAGUCACUUUGAAAAAAAAAGAUCCAUUUAAUGUUUCUACAAUGAAGUCAAUAUACAAUGCACGACAGAGAUAUAAGGUGAUUGAGAUGGCUGGCAGAUCACAAAUGCAACAACUUUUGAGUAAGUUUUCUGAACAUAAUUACAUUGAGUGGCAUAGGUGUUAUGACAAUACAGAUAUUGUUAAAGACUUGUUUUGGGCACACCCUAAGAGCAUAGAGUUGUUACGUUCAUUUCCAAGCGUUUUGCUAAUGGACUGUACUUAUAAAGUCAAUAAAUAUCAUCUUCCUUUAUUUGAGAUUAUAGGAGUGACAUCAACUGAUAUGACUUUUAAUGUUGCUUAUACAUAUCUCAGUUCUGAGCGAGAAGAUAGCUACACAUGGGCAUUAGAUAGAUUGAGGGGUUUAAUGGACAAUGAUUUUUUACCUAGGGUCAUUGUCACUGAUAGAGAGUUGGCUUUAAUGAAUGCCAUUGAGAAAAUAUUUCCUCGUGCAAAUCAUUUUUUAUGUAGAUGGCAUAUUAGUAGGAAUAUUAUGGCAAACUGCAAGAAGUUAUUUGCAGCAAAUGAUAAGUGGGAGAAGUUCAUAAUGAGUUGGAACUUAUUGGUGUUAUCUUCAAAUGAAAUUGAAUUCAUUGACCACUUUAAAACCAUGCAGAGAGAUUUUGCAUCUUUUCCGGCAGUGAUGGAAUAUGUAACAAAUGCAUGGUUGAACAAUUAUAAAGAAAGAUUUGUUUCAGCAUGGACAGAUAAAAUUAUGCACUUUGGAAAUUUAACAACAAACAGGUAUAUAACAUUUUAAUUUUACCAAUAACUUAUUGGUUUUACUUAUUAAAUUUAUUCAUUAUUAUUGUUGUUGUUAUUAAUUUUUUUGUUAAUAUUAUCUUUUUAAUAGGGUUGAAAGUUCACAUUCAAGGUUGAAGAAGUAUCUUUCCACAAGUCAAGGAAACUUUGAGACAUCAUGGGCAAAAAUACACAAUUUACUUGAGUUGCAACAUACAGAUAUUAAAGCAUCAUUUGAGAAAAGUUUGACAAUUGUUCAGCAUCAAUUCAAGCCUACAGAAUUUAAACAUAUUCGAGGCUUCAUCUCUAUAACUGCAUUAAAUAUCACCCUUAGUGAGCUGAAACGUGCUAUUUCUAUUGGGGUCGACCGCUCUGCAUGUGGGUGUGUUAUUCGCCAAACACAUGGUUUACCGUGUGCUCAUGAGAUUGCAGAAUACAAAAGAGAAUGUCAGCCUAUUCCACUUGAGAGAAUUGAUCUUCAUUGGAAAAAACUUGAUUUAGUCGUUGUUACUCAGAAGCAAAAGGUGGAGUUAAGUUGUCAACCGGAGUUUGAGUUAAUUGCUAACCGGUUUAAUGAGAGUUCGAUUGAAAUCCAGUUAGAUAUUUUGAAAAAAUUGAAGGAGAUAGCCAAUCCUGGGUGUACCUUUCUUUUAGAUCCAGAAGUGAAGACAAGAACACGAGGUCGACCAUCUAUCAAAGUCGAUACUUCUACCCGUCGCGACCCAUCUACUUUUGAGAUAUCAUUAUCUGGCCAAGAAAGUUGUUCACUUAAUGUGAAGAGUAAUUCAGUUACAACUGCUAAAUCAAAAGCUGAGGUUAAACGUAGAGGAAGACCGAAAACAAAGGUAACACAAAUUUAUGCUUAAGUUAUUUAAUAAGUUAUUUAAUUUAAAUUUUUUAUCAUACAUAAUACCUAUAUUUGUAGGUUAACAAGAGCACGCCAGUCAAAUCAAUUACUUUUAUUGAUGAAUUUCCAGUUGGAUUACAAUCAUAUAUUCAUCACAUUAAAGAUGUUGUAGCUGAUGGUAACUGUGGUUUUAGAGCAAUAGCUGACUUAAUAGGCUUGGGCGAGGAUGGAUGGGUACAAGUGAGGAAAGAUUUACUAAAUGAGUUGUACUCUCACUUAGAUGAUUAUGGCAAAUUAUACGGACCUGAAAGAGUGAAUGAGCUUAUUCACAUCCUUUCAUAUUAUGAGAAUUGGCCAGCAUCGUCUGAUCGAUGGAUGACUAUGCCUGACAUGGGUCAUCUUAUAGCAUCGUGCUAUAAUGUUGUCUUAUUCCACUUGUCCUCAGUACAAUGCCUUACAUUUUUGCCUUUGAGAUCUGAGCCAGUGCAUAUACUAUCUCGCAAAAAUAUUGCUCUUGGCUAUGUAUUUGGCAAUCAUUUUGUUGAGGUAUAAUUUAUUAUUUUAUUAAUUAAAUGUUGUUCCAUUUAUAAUUUACAAUUAUUAAUUAUCAGCUUUUACAGGUUUUUUUAACACCAGGUCAUCCUAUUCCACCUAUUACACUUGAUUGGGGCACAUAUCAUCACCCUAUCGCAAAUGGAUGGGAGACUUCAUAUGCUUCUCAAAUACAACAUUUUAGAGAAAUUAUAAGUCCUAAGGUGGCUACUAUAGAUAGAAUAAUUUUAGACAAUUGACUCUAUAAUACUAUUCAUAUGUUUAUUUAUUAUUUUGCUUUAAUGUGUUUCUUAUAUGUAUACUUAAGUUGAGAAAUUGUAAUUAUUCUAUUUUAAGGUAAGGAUUAAGGAUUAGCCACAACUCAUCUUAGUUUUCGAUUAUUUUAUAACUCAAUUUAUAGCAAGUAGCAACUACUCAUUGUAAUUACCAAUUAAAUUAUUUUUUUUCAUUUUUGUUCUAUUCAUUUUAUAAUUCUUUACGAUGAACCACUUAAUUAUUCAUCAUUAUUGGUUUCUUACUUCAAGAUUUAGAUAUGAUCUUUGUUUCUGGAAUUCUACUAGGAUUUUUAGAGCUCUUAUAAUUUAUUAGUAAUUUUAUGAACACUUAGAUUUUGAUUCAGUGCCUUGGCCUAUUGUAAAGCUAAUUAAAAGCUUCAUAUUUUUUCCUUCUCCAAAACGGAUUCAAUGACCGAAAUUGCUCAACAUUCAUUGAUAUGGAUGAUGGAUAUGAUUCAUUUGGGAUGACCCCUCACUCAAAAUUGUUUAAUUAAUAUUGAUGAUUAAAUUUUCAAUUAAUAAUCAAUUAUUGUUUUUCCCAAAUUCUGAAAAAUUUAUUUUUUCUCAAAUUCCUCAUAUUAGAUUUUCAUACCAUCAUACAAGAUUUUUCCCACCACUAUAAUAUAACUCAAAAAAAUAAUUUCAUGAUGACAAUUAUUUUCUCCAUUUAGAAUGUUUUGAUUCAUUUGUCCUUGAACGAGGGCCAUUCACUCAAAAUUGAUUAUUAAAUUUCUAAUUAAUAAUCAAUUUCCAAUCUAAUGGGUUUAUAAAUGAAUAUUAUGGAUUUAAUGAGUAAAAUCACUAUUAUUAUAAAAAUUGGGUUUAGAAAGGGCAUAUUAGGUAUUUUAGUGGGUUUACUGAGUAAAAUUUAAAAUUUUAAAAUUUAAAGAUGAAUUUAUUUAGUAAAUAGGUUUAUUGAGUAAAUUGGUGGGUUCAAAUAGCCCCACCCAAAUUUAAAUUCCUCAAAAUUUCCGCUUUAUAUACAUAUAGAAGCUCACAGAAUAAACAGUUGAACACUCAAGACCGAAGCGUGAUGGGCAACGAAGAUCGAACUUUCUGGCGGCUUGAAUCAAAGAAUCCAUAGAUUUUACUUGGGAGAAAAGAAACGUCAAAAUAUAAGAAAAAAAUAUACAAAAUAAAUAAACAUAAAACUAGAGAAAACAAGUGCAUAAAUACACUCACAGAGAGAGACUCAGAGAGAGAGAGAGAGAGAGAGAGUUCUAGCAAGAGAGAGAAUGGUGCUGUGGGAGAUCACAUUGGGAACAGCGUAUUUCUUGGGACUGAAGCGGACUUACAGGCUUGCUUUGAGGAUUCAGCGUCGCGUUAUCAGCCCUAAGCACCCUCGGAUUCGUCAAUUUGUUCACCGGUAUAUUUGUGUUGUUUUAUUAUUAUUAUUAUUAUUUAAUUAUUUUUUUUUGAGUCUGAUUCCGAUUAAUUUGUAGCUUGAUGGGUCAGGUAUCAAUAGGGUUAUUAGCGGAUGAGUCACAGAUUGGGAAUGGGCAUUUUGAAGUGUAUUUAUUGAUUAAGCUAGGUAGUUCAAGUUUUAAUUUUCAUUAAUGGGUUCUGUAGCUAUGCUCGUUAAGACAAUAAGAGCUGGUGAUUUUAGAGUCAAAAGAGGAUUAUGAUGAUAAUGAUGAUGGUGGUGGUGGUGUUGGUGGUGUUGAUAAUGAUACGUAUGAUACUGAUAUGGGUAUACUAACAAUACAUUGCAAUGCAAUGUUCUUUGUUUCACGAUUUGAUGAUAUUUUUCGAAAUUGAUCUUGGUAAUUUGAUUUAACAGUAUGGUUGUGUUUGUUAUUUGGAAGUUGGUUAUUGAUGCUUGCUAAAGAUCUAAUGUAAGAAAGCAGAGGAGAGUAAUGGAGUUUCAUUCCAUUAUACAUAUAAGUGAAUUGAUUCCUUGGAGUAAUAAUGUGGCUUACUACCAGCUUGGCUAGACAGAGAAUGGCUUAUUAGCAAAGGCAACGGACAGAAGGAGCCAAAAUUUUAGGUUUUCUAAGAAUAGGGAGAGGGUGAAGUAAAUAAAAUUACAAAUUUGUAAAAGAUCCUGAAAACCUGAUUUCAAAAGUUUAUCCAGAUAUAUGUGUUGUUGUCUACUCAUAUCAUAUAUUGCAGUGAAAGUAAGCCAGGUUUUACCUGACAGAAACUAGUGUUGUGUGAACUUAACCAUGGAGUAACUAUAUAGGAAGCAACAGACGUGAGCUUUCCUUGUGGCAUCUUCUAUUUACUUAUAUAUUUCCUUAGGGAGUAAUCCUAUGCUGUCAAAAACCAUAAAAGCGUAUGCUCUUUUGGGAGGCAUUGCAUGGAUUUUGGUUUUCUUUUGGGGUCAAUGAUUCAUAGAAUUUCUCCUUGCCCUUCCCUUGUAUUCUCUCUUCUCACUUCCUAUUUUACUGUUCUCUCUUCUAUUUCUCUUUUCUUCAAACACUUUUCAGCUGAAAUUUCUACCUUCUUAUGCUUCUUUAAUGGGAUUUUGAUGGAUUGUGUGGAGUUGAUUUUGUCAAAUCUGAGUUCAAUAUAUUGCAGCCACGCAUCCUACGGCAUGGGAUUGUCUUAGACUAUGUGUCCACAAUAAUGAUAGCUGGUCUUUGCCUAUGUAUUAAUCCUCUCUUUGAAAAGUUACUUUGAUGGUGGUUCAUAAAAUGUUAUUCAUGGUCUGAAUUUUCUGUCUGAGUGCCAUGCCGUUAGACCAUCUCUUAAAAUGGAAGUGUUUUUGCUAGAUGCACCGAUUGUAUUCUGCUUGUUUACGUUUUAGUGUGCCGCAUCUUGGGUAUUACAAUGAACUUAUUGCUUCCAAUCUAAUGAGGUCCAUUGAAGUUUAGUUAUACAGAGGUCAAAAUAUGUGUUUGAAUACGGCUAAAACAAAGUACCAAUCUGUAUUUUAGCCGUCUUAAUUAUAUAGGAAUAUGAAGGGAAAAACUUUAGUUUGGUACUUCAACUAGUUCAUUGUGCAUCCUGGCACUUCUACUUCAGCUUGGAUGUAAACUGAUGUGAAUAGUUCACAUUGACUUGAUAUCAUGUGCUAUAUGAGAGACCACUGAGCUCUUCCCUGAAAGCAAUUAUUCAUUCCUAUCUGACUUAGAAUGGCCCUGUGCAUUUCAUAAUAAAAUCAGCUUCUAAAUCUGUGAUCUUAUGACAUAUUGGAAAGGCUAGGUUGCUGAAUUUGUGAUUUAACCAAUUAUGGAGCAAAGCCAAUCCUUAAAAGAUUAAGAGAAGUUACUAUCAACUCAGUUGAUCGUUGAAUAUCUGCAACUGCAACCUGCGUUCUCACAUACUAGAAUGGUGCCUAAUUUCUAUUGCAAAGUUUUGCAAACCUCCAACUAGUUUUAUCUGUGGCACCAUAAUGGGAUUUGAAUCAACUUAUCUUUUAGAUUUGCUAUACCAAACUUUUAACAAAAUGUUUUUUGCUGUUUUGGCAUUAUGUUGAACCCUUGAUGUCAAAGCAACUUGUUUGCCAGCUUCUUGUAGUACCUGUAGGUGAAGCAGUUAGAGAGUCUCAUGUGUAUUCCUGUGAACUUAUUAUCCAAUCAAGCUACAAUGCUCGGAUACCAGAACUAAUUUCAUUAUUAUGAGCAAAUUCUUAAACUGCUGUCUCUCUUUAGGUGAUGUGAAGAUUUUGGAGAAGCACAUGUACUAACGUCCAAAGCUGGAGGUCAUAGCUGUACUCUUGUUUAGUUCAAAGAGACUGUUUUGAAAUGAUAGAUUGAAAGUUCUUCUGUGCUUUUCUUUUUAAUGAGCCGUUGUAUUUUGAUGUUUAUUUGUAGGAUGUUAUUAACUUCAUGAUGGUAAUUUACCAGGGCACAUUUUUUUGCUCCAGAAUCUUUCCGAUCCAGUUGUAAUUAUUCAUGAAACCCUCUGCAUAAAAUUGAAAUCCUAAAUUAGUUAAUUGUUUCUAUACUACUUUGAAUUGAUUUAGUAUGCAUUAUGAAACCAAUAAUUGGAUAUCCUCCACUGUUAGAGUCUCAGUGUGAUACUGACCAUGGUACUGCCCAAGCUUUGCAUUCUUCCCUCUGGUUGGCUCAUUGGAUUCCAUUCUACUGUUUAACUACCGCUGUUAUGUCAAUUACUAGCUGGCAAAUACUGUUAUUUCUACAAUUGUUUUGCAUAAUAACAAAUUUAUUACUCCAACUUGGAACUGCCAUUGUUUUUGAAGACUGACCUUCAUUCUUCAUUGAUUUUUUCCACAGCCGAGUACGUGCUGCCUUUGAUAUUGCUCUCAAGUUUCAUAGGAACAUACAAGAGAGGGACAUAGAAGUUGGUAGAAAUGUUGGUAACUGGAUUCUACGUUGGCUUGACCGUAUGAAACCAUCUGCCCAGAUACAUGGUCCCCCUGAGAAACUGCCACAUGGCCCCAGCAUGAACAUGACCAACCAUGGAAUGAAGUCUUCCAAUCCAAAAACUCCAGGAGUCCAAACAUCCAGAAACAAGGAAUCUGAUUUACAUCAGUUUAGCUCAUCAAAAAAUAUAUGGCCUAAACUACCCUUUUCUACCAUUGCCAUGAUGAUGCGGCAUCCAAGGCCUGCGGGAACCAUAACCCAGUAUAGGCAUCUUCAGACAAAUGGAUCUGAUCAGUUGAGUUUGAACUACAAUAGAAAUGGGUUUGAUGGAGUCCUACAAAAGGACAUUAGGCAGUGAUUGCUGCAAAUGUGAAGGUAGAAGCUUAUCAGACACCCGUUACUUCCUGAAGUUUUAAUUGCCAAUAAUUCAGUUAUAAUAUCUCACUCAAACCGCUUGCAUUAUUGGACUCCUAAAUUUCAAAUUCAUCCACGCGAGUUAUGGACCUGUAGCUUGAUGCACUAAUUACUGAAGGGCUGCGUGCCGCAAAAGCUGGCAAAGCUAGGUUUUAGUUGUUUUGCUUCUUUACUCAAAGAUAGUAAUUGUUCUAUCCAUUUUCAGUGACUAGGUUUUGUGUUUCUGAACCAGUAACUGCAUAGUUGCUUCUGGUAGUGUCUGUUUGUUUCUUUCUUUGUGAAGCACAUUCCUCCAGAUUGUAAACGGCUGUGGUGAUGGCGAUCAUCUUUCUCUGUACUUGGCUUUGGGAGAUUCUGCAGUCGAGGCGACUAAAGCAUAUAUGCAGAGCAUACAUUGCGAAUCAUAGAUCAAGUGGGGGCAAAACAUAAAUCUUUUCAAGGUAAAAUGUCUGUGUUUACCUGCAAUUAGUUUUUGAGGCAAGUCCAAUUAAUAUAACGAGAAUGUUCCUUUUACUCUAGCAGAGAAUAAAGACUGGUUCCAUAGACCAAGCGAUAACUGGGGCCGGCCAAGAUUCGUUUCAUUGGGUGAGUUAGAUGAGCCAGAGACUAGAUUUCUAGUGAAUGGCGUUUGCGUGGUGGAAGCUGAGGUCACUGUGCUUGGAAUUUCCGAGCCAUUAUAGCAAGUAAUUAAUUGUCUUCCAAAUGGGUUCUUUUAUUGUAUGAUGCUGACUGCCUGGCUAAUCUAGGAAAUUUAUUUUAGCUAUCAGGAAAUUUAUUUCUCUUGUGGUUUUCCAAAAUAACUCUUACAUUGCUUAUUGUUUAUGCUGUCAAGCUAACUUUUUAGUGUGAUUUUGGUAUUUUAUUUCUCUGCAUCUCUUUAAGGAGAAAUUCCUUAUAUCCCCUACUCUCUAAUUUUUUUUUUGGUAAAAGUUCAUUUAGUUCCCGUAUUUUAAGAUUAAUGUCCAUUUAGUCCUUAUAUUUUUAAAGUAUUGAUACCCCUAUUGUUACUUUUUUUUUUUACAAUAUUACCCUUUUAUAAUAAUUUUUUUAUUUGGACAUUAAUAAAAAAUAAUAAUUAAAUUACUAAUUUAACCUUAAAAAUAAAAAAAAAUUAUAUUAAUUUUUUUGCAAGCACCAUUUGCACACUUAGUGAUUUGCAUACAAUUUUUGACAAUUAAAAAUUAAUAUAAUUUUUCUGGUUAAAUUGGUAAUUUAAUUAUUUUUUUAUUAAUAUAUAAAUAAAAAAUUAUUAUAAAAGGGUAAUAUUGUAAAAAUAAGCCAAAAGAAAUAAAAAGUAACGGUAUGGCUAUUAAUACUUUAAUAGUAGAGAUGUUUUGAGAUAUUUUAAAAAAUAUAAGAACUAAAUAAAUACUAAUUUUAAAAUAUAGAGAUUAAAUGGGUUUUUACCUUUCUUUUUUUCUAAGAUUUUGAUUUUUUUUUUUUUUUAAUGUAGUUGAAACGAAGAAAGUAUUAAGUAGGGAUGGUUUAGAUUAAUUCGGGUCAGAUAUGAACCCAAACCGCUUUAAAACUGAAUCUGUUUCAAAAGCAGUCCAAGUCUCAAAUGUAUUUUGCAGUUGGGUUCAAGAAUCCGAAACCCAAAUUUUUUUUAUUUUAAAAGUAAAAUUUAUUUUACUUUCACACGAUUAAAAAAUAUUUAAUUUAAUAAAAUAAUAAAAAAAAUUACUCGACGCACUUUCCGAAUAAGUUUAAUCAAAUAAAAAAAAAAGGCAUCACAAAACUAAAAGUCUAAAACCCAGACCGAAACCCACCACUCUCAAAACGCUAGACAUCGCCACCUCCAAGUCUCCAACGGUCAACGGAGCUUCCCCUUUCCGGCCGUCGCGUCCAACACCAAAAGUCCAAGAUUGCGCCGUUAACAUCGCUUUUCUCUCUAGCCUAAAGACCAAGCAUUACCGCAAGCCGCUAACCCUUUCUCGCCGGCGCUCUCAUUUCUCACCGGACUCAACCACCCGUCGCCGCCUUCGCUGCCAUUUGAUCAGUCAAGGUAAUUUUAGAAAUUAGCGCCUUUACUUGCGACGAGGCCGUAUUCUUUGAAACUUGGUUGAAUAUUACUAAGUGGUAUUAUUGUACAAGUUUGUUCAGUGAUAUUGGAUUUAUUAUUACGGAUAUGCUUGAUGGAUGAUCAUCAAUUCGUUUUGUGUUGAAAUAAUCUUGUUAUUAAUUACGGGUAUGCUUGAUAGCUGAAUUCGUUCGUUUGAAAUGUUGUUUGCGCUAUUAAUUUGCUCAUUUGUAAUUUUUUUUCCAAGCUAUGUGUAUGCAAAAUAAUUAAUUUUUUUGAAGGAGCCGGAUAUUCAAAAUUAUUAAUUUUUAAAAAAAUAAAUAGAUGGGAUUAUCGGGGAUAUCCCCAGUUAAAGUUUUUCGGUUAUGGUACGGAGAUUGCUUCCAGUUCAGGUUUGGGGUUCAUGAUCUCCACUGCGAGCCCACCCAUUGCCAUCCCCAGCAAUAAGUGAGCUACUAGUAAUUAUGGCUAUGUUUUGGACUUCAGUACCUUUGAAGAGCUAGCUAGCUGUCUUUGUAGUUGUUGUUUGAUAUUAUCUGUUGGGGAGGAAGGUUAUGUUCUGUUCUGGUAUCAUUGCUUCUACAUUAACACUUUUCCCAUGUUUGAAUUUCAAUUCAUGCCAAAUUUUCAUCAAACAAAGAGAUCUUUUUCAUUGUUAAUAUGCAAGGGGCAAGUAGUCAUCAUUCUAUUUUGGUAAAAUUAUAUUAGAAAUUAUAAUCAGUCAAAUUGGUUGUAUUUGAGCCGUUUUGUAAUUUCAGUUUAGUUAGGAUUUAAUUUAUUUUCUUAAUUUUUUAGGAUUAUAAUUAAGUAAAUUUUAAGUUACCUUAUCUUCAAAAAAAAAAAAAAGUUACCCUAAUAAAUAAUAGUCCAUUUUUUUCCCUAGGAUUGGUAGCAGAGCCUUGUGCCUUGCCCUUGCCAACAAAAACGGUACCGUCCAAGUAGCGUCUACAGCCUCCGGCUUCAGUUUAAUUACCAAAAAGGAAAAAAAAAUGAACAAUUUAACAAAGAUGGACAGCGUCUUUGUUGACAAAGAUGGUAUGUAUGUUCAAACCUUUCAUGUUCUUUUGGUCAACAUUCUUAAAAUAUUCAGUUUAUUUUAUUUAUAAUCAGUGGGUGUUAAUUAAAAUUACUUGAAUGUAUAGCCAUUGCAAGAUCCACUUCACAUGUACCACCGGCUCAUUACAUUGUCAAAAUAAAAUCAUUUUCAGUACUUGCGGAGAAAGCAGUUGAUGAGAAAUACGAAUCAGGAGCAUUUGAAGCUGGAGGCUACAAGUGGUAUAUAUAUACAUAUAUAAAUUUUUUUUUUCCUUUAUUGCUGUAAAUUAAAUAAUGUACGCCAGUACCUUUUCUUUUGUUAUUAUCAUCAUCAUUAUUAUUAUUUCAUCUUGAUAUAUAAUCAAACAACUCCUCAACUUGUGGGUAAAAUCUCUUGUGCCGAAACAUGAGAUCUGGGGUUCAAACCUACUUUACAAAGCUGGGAGAGAAUUGGGUUGCCAUUAAGCUAUAAUAAUAAUAAGAAAAAUGCUACAACUCAAUCCUCAUCCCUAAUGUGAUCAGGAUUCAAACCUAACUCUUGAACCAUAGUCUUUGCUCGGUAAUAUCAUAAAUUCGUGUAUUUAUGUUGAUCAAUUAAUUAUUGCAGGAAACUUGUUCUAUAUCCAAAUGGAAAUAAGAGCAAGAAUGUGCAAGACCACAUUUCACUCUACUUAGCAGUGGCAGACACAAGUUCGGUUACUCUUGGUUGGGAAGUCUAUGCAGUUUUUCGUUUAUUUUUACUUGAUCAGGACCAAGACAACUACUUGGUGGUUCAAGGUUAUAUUAUAUUCUACUUUUGAAAUGCUAACCUUGAUCAUAUUUUCCAAUGAUCUAUGUUUGACAAUUUUGACGAUAUCGAAUGUUUAUAAAUUUUAUCUAGUGUGAUCGUCAGUAUUUCACAAAUUAAAUACAGUCUAGCUGGUACAUAUAAAGUUUUACAGAAAAUAUUGCAGCAGAAGCUCGUUCUAGUCUUUUAGAUAAGCAAUUGCAUAAUCGGUGGUUGCUUGUAAUGUGAUAGAUGCCAUGGGAAAGGAAAGAAGGUUUAAUGGAUUGAAGCUUCAAUGGGGUUUUGAUCAGUUCAUCCCGCUUAAAGCUUUCAACGAUGCUUCAAAUGGAUACCUUGUCGAGGAUACAUGUAUUUUUGGAGCUGAAGUCUUUGUUAAAGAAAGAAACAUAGUCAAAGGAGAGUGCCUAUCCAUGGAAAAAUAUGCAUAUAGUUCUAAGUAUGUUUGGAAGGUUGAAAACUUUUCAAAGUUGGGCGAAGGACGUCAGGAAUCACAAGUGUUCAGUGCUGGAAAUCACAAAUGGUAUCAAAGAUUCAAAUUUUUUUUUAAAAUCAGACUAUAGAUGUAAAUAUGUUCUUGGGACAAAGUUUUUAGUGAAUGAACAAUUAAAUUCCAUAAAAUUCUUUUCAGGAUGAUACGGCUCUAUCCCAUGGGAAAUGGCUUUGGUGAUGGCGAUCAUCUUUCUUUGUUCUUGGCUUUGGCAGAUUCCGCAGUUGAGGCUGUUAAAGUAUAUGCAGACUAUUCAUUGCGAAUUUUAGAUCAAGUGGGGGAAAAACAU
rnacentral:lncRNA from 1 species